rnacentral:lncRNA from 1 species
UUUUUUUUUUUUUUUAAUGAAUGUAAAAUUUAUUCAAACAAAAAUAGUACUACAUCAAGUGCUUCUUUGUUUUUAUGAAAUAUAAACUUUCCUACUCCAAAAGAAAUAGAAUCUACUUCUUCAUAAAUCUAGUCUUGUCCCAAACCAAGUAAUCAGCCCUUCUUCUAAGUAAUUUCCCUUCCCUUUCACUGCAAGUAGCUUUAGUCUUAUAUUUUUAUCUACAAGCUGUGUCAGAGUAGCCAUGGUUUUAGGAUCUUCCCCAUGCCUACGAGUAUUCCUCUCCCACCAAAUUGUGUGCAUCGCAGCCUGUAGAGUGUAUCUGAGGAGGAAAGUCUUGAUAGGCGUUAGCCAAGGCUUCGAGACAAUCCUUAUCAGGUUACUCCAAUCAGUAGUGAACAUGUCUUGCAUAAGACCUCCAGCCAGGUUCCUCCAAACGUUCUCUGAAUACCGACAUCCAAAGAAGAGGUGUGCACAUGAUUCAGAUUCCUCAUUGCACAGGACACAUUCUGUAUUUAUAGAAUUAUUCCAUCUCAUCAUUCUAUCAGUUGUCUGCAACCUCCCCUUCAAUGUAACCCAUAUCAUGAACGAGUAUUUCGGAGUAGAAUGAGAGAACCAUACACCCUUACUCCAAUCACAAAUCGGUUUAGUAUCUCGAAUCUGGUCCCAAGUGUUACUUGUUGUAAACUUAGCCAUAUACUUCCCUUCAGCAUGCUUCCAAAGAGUAAUAUCUUCAUCUUGUUGAUUCCCAAGUUUACGUAUCUCCUCUUCAACUUGAUUAAGAAUAUCCACUUUGUGAUUUCUUCUUCUUCUCAUUCUCUUAACCUCCGCAACAGAGAAACUGUUAGGAAUCCCCAAAUCAAGUGGACCUCUCUCUCCGAGUAUCUCUAUUAAUGGACCAAAUCGAGACCAACUCCCAUACCAGAAAGAAGUACACUCUCCAUUUCUGAUUUCCUUCCUGAGAAACUGCUGUGCAAGACCCCUUAACUUUAGUAAUUUUUUCCAUACCCAAGAUCCAGAACUUGUGUUCUCUUUGAUCGACCAGAACGAGUUCUUCCUGAUCAAAUAACACUGAAUCCAUCUGACCCACAAUGAUGAAUCUGCCAUCAAUCUCCAAAUAAGCUUCAAACCGUAUACUUUAUUGAUUUCUUUCAAAGGUCUCAUCCCUAACCCUCCUUCAUUUUUGGGAAAGCAGACCUCUCUCCAACUGACUUUUGCUUUGGUUGUAACUAGCCACUUUGCAAACAAUUGAGAAUUGAUAACCAUAUAAAGUGGAGUUGAUCGUAUAUAAUUAUUCAGUGGCAUAUUUCCUAAAUCCUUUAUAUAUCACAAGGUGUUUUUCUGCACAAUGUAGAGUAGUAAAAUUAUAAUUUUAAAUUAUAUUUAAAAUAAAUUUAUUAUUAUUUUAUUGCUUUCUUACUAAAGUUUUAAUAUAAUUUUGAUUUAAUUAAAUAUAAAAUUAAGUUAAAAAAACAAUUUUGUUUAUUUUAAAUUAUAUCUAAGAAUAGAUAUUUAUAUAUUUAAAAUUAUAAUUUUAGAUAAAUUUUCUUAUCUAUUUUUAGAUAAAAUAUAUUAAAUAAACUUGUAUAAAAUUAAUAAAAAAAUUGAUAUAAAUUUCUAUAAUUAUUAAAAAGUAACACUAAACAGUAUUUCUAAAAUUUGUAUAUAAAAGAAACUAAUAAUAUUAAGAUUAAAAAUUUAUAAUUUUAAAAAAAUUGUUAAAAAUGAAAAUAUUUUUUAGUAAGAAACUGUAUGAUUAUAAGAAAUAAAAAUAAAUAAUAUUUCGAAAUUUAUAAAGUAUUAUUAUAUUUCUAUUAUUAUAUUAUUUAAUUUUAUGUUUGAAUAUAAUUACUUUAAUGAAUAUAAUUUACUACCAUAUUCUAAAAAGUGUACCAAAAAUAUAAUUAAGCAUUACAUGUAAUUUUUCUUGUCACAUUUAACCAUAAGUAAUGUCAUCAUUUAUAUCAUGCCAUAUCACAUUUAUUUAGUGAAAAUGACUGUACAAAAGAGAUGUGUCAAAAUCACUUUGCAAAUAAUGUCUAAGGGAUUUGAAAAGUAUUACAAUAUCUGAAGAAGCCACGUGUCGUCAUCGAAAUAAUUUAAAGAAAUAGGUUGGUCCAUCUAAAUAUAUACUAUUUUUUCAUAAACUAACCAUAAACUCAAUUAUCAAUGUUCUUCAUACUUUUCUUAGAUAAAAAUUACUAAAUUACCUAAUGUGAUUAAAGUAUAUAUGACAAUUAAUGAUUUAUAAUAAUAAAUUCUCAUUUAAGAAUGCUUUGAUCAAAAAUACAACUAAUUAUAAAAUCAUAUAAGUAGAAAGUCUCAUUUAAUAAGUAUUCAUAUUAAAAUAUAUAUAUAUAUGAUUUUUAGGUACAUAAAUAUUUUAAUUUCAGAAUGCUUUGAUCAAGUACCGAGAACUUCAUAUUUCAAUUUUGAACAUUUUAUAGGAUUUUUAAAAAUGAUAAUAAAUUACUAAACUAUUAAAUUUCACACAUUGAAAAUUUUGUUAUUAGUGUAUUAGAGUUUUUUUUUAAAGAUACAAAUAAUCAUAAAACAGGUGAGUAAAAAUCUUCAUUUAUAGAUCAGCCAUAUUAAAAAUACACUAUAUCAAUGCUAAUAUCAUUUAAAUUUAAUUAUAUACCGUAUAAAAUAGGUUAAAUUAUUGUUUGAAUUUAUAAAAUAUUGUAAAUAAAAAAAUUGAUUGUUUUGAUUUAUGUACUCACACCAAUUUUAUUAUAUAGGUAAUAGUUACUAACUUCUUAAAUUUUUUAAUAUAUAUUAAUUAUUUUAUUAUUUCUUUUUGACUUUAUUAUUUUAAAACACACAAAAAGCACAUUGUCAUCAGACAUGAAUUUCUCAUUACCAAAUGUAAACUUAAAGACAAUAAACAACAAUGUCAACAUACAUAGAACUAAACACACACAAAGAACUACAUAGAACAAUGUCGACGUACAUAGAACCAAACAACAAUGUCGACAUCAACGCCUAGCUUGCUACAUCUUUCUUGCAAAUGUCACAAUACAAACACACACAAGGCACACUGUCAUCAAAGCUUUCUAAUUCCUGAUUUCUAUCUUGCUCUUUGCUAUUUGUAUGUGAGGAGGUUGAAGAUGCUAUUCCUUCAAAUCUUCAAUAAAAGUCUUUAACUCAUCAACUUCGGUUAUAGUAGUAUUUUCCCUCUCAAUGAUUUUGAGUUUGGGAAUAGCAUCUUCAACCUCCUCACAUACAACAUCCUCAAUCCACUUAAAUAAAUGCUCUUAAUUCAUGAUCAAAUUAGAUAUCUUUCUGUCUUUUUUUUUUUUUGAAACACAGAUAUCUUUUUGUCUAAAUAACUAAACAACAUCUAAGAAGCUUACAUCUUUUUUACUUUUUUGCUUAUACAACAGUAGAAAAGUCUUCAUGGAUUAGCUUGUGUCUUCGAUAGUAAAAGUACCACACGUAAUCUACACUCACACUUCGUUGGGAACCCAUGAUCUCCUACUCCAGAUUGUAUCUCUGAAGAUGAACUUAUCAUGAAAUCGAGACAAAACUUUGAAGAAAUUUUUUAGUUUUCGAUUUUUAGAGAAUUAGGGAUUUAGUUUUCGAGAAGAAAGAAUUUUACGGGUUUUCUAAUUUACAAAAUGACAGAAUGUUAGUUUAACAAAGAUUAUAAACGAAGAUUAACCCGUAUAUUCAAUCUGCUACCUCAGUAACAACGUUUUAAAAUUGGUUUAGUCAAAUUAACUCGAGGCUUUAAGUGGUUGGUUAGUCAAGAUAAAUUGGUGAUUUAAAUGGUCCAAGGAAAAAUUCAUGUUUUUCAACCAAAAUUUGAAAGCUCAAAAUUUAAAAGAAUAAAUUUCUCAAUUGUUAGGAGAUAAAAUUAGUAAAAGUUAGAAGUAAAAAAAAAAAAGAAAAAAAGUGCUGACCAGAGUGAAAAGAAAAUAAAAAGCCAAAAUGAGAGGAAAAAAGAGAAAGAAAUCCCCUUUUUAUUUGUUUUUUUCAAAAGAAACUUGUGGCUGAGAACCCUAAAGACUAUUGACGUGGCACACUGGGCGAAUCAAAAGGUUGUACAAACUCGCGAGAUCACAGCUUAACUGUAAUCUUUUCUCUCCCAUACACAAAAAGAAAAUAACUAAACAAAUCGACCAGAAACAAAAAAAAAAAUCAGACAACCACCGAAACAGAAGACAGGACAGUCUUUUCUUUCUCUCGCUGUCUUCUCAAAAGUUUCCGCUUUUUCUAUAUUCUCGCUGGAGGACAAGAAGAAAAUUGAUGUCUGAUCCGGCGAUGAAGCUAUUUGGGAAGACGAUUCCUUUACCUGAGCUUGUCUGUGUUGAUUCUUCUUCUAGCUAUACCGAACAUCAACACCAGAAUCCAGUUCGGUUAUCAGAUUCUUGUACCGGAGAUGAUGAAGAGAUGGGUGACUCCGGUUUAGCAGGAGAUGAUGUUUGGUUUCACGGUGGAGACAGCGAGAGUGAAAAGGUAAUGUCUUUUUGGAUUCUUGGAUGCAUUUUCAAGAAUACCCAUGACAGAUUUGUCGAUGUUAGAUUAAGUGAAUCAAGAUCUCAAACAGUUUCAUUCGGUUUUGAUUCCAUGGAGAUGGUUCCUAGUCUUUCCUCAGAUGGGAGAGUCUAGCUUUUGUUUUUUCUAUCUUCGGUUUGAUGUUUGUUUGAUUUUUAUACAGAACAACGAUCUUUGCUUGUUCCUUUAUGAGUAACAUUGUUACAUAUUAGGAUACUGAUGCGACUAUUGCGAUGUAUUAUAUGUUGCUCCAGGAAGAGAAAGCUAAUCAGUGUGGGGAAGAAUCUAGUAACGUUACUAUGGCAUCAUCUACAAAGACGGAUGAAGAGUCGUCGUCACAGAACAACGAGACUUGCUCGCGAGAGGGGAAACUAAAGAAACCCGACAAGAUUCUGCCUUGCCCUCGAUGCAACAGCAUGGAGACCAAGUUAUGUUACUACAACAACUACAACGUUAACCAGCCUCGCCAUUUCUGCAAGAAAUGUCAGAGAUAUUGGACAGCUGGUGGAACUAUGAGGAACGUUCCUGUUGGUGCAGGGAGACGCAAGAACAAGAGCUUGGCUUCUCAUUAUAACCGUUAUGUAGGCAUAACAUCUGCGGAAGAUAUGCACAAGGCAGCGGCAAGAACCGAUCCUAAUCUCAUGACUAUUGGAUCUGAUUCAGUCCUUUGUGAAUCCAUGGCUUCAGGUUUGAAUCUUGCUGAAAAGUCAAUGUUGAACACACAAACCGGACUGCAAGAAGAACCCAAUGAAGGUUUGAAGAUUACCGUUCCUUUAAAAAACAAGGAGACUGUAGCAAUCAGCCCAAGAACGUGGACGGUAUUACCGUUUUACCCUCCACCAGCUUACUGGAGCUGCCCGGGGGUUUCACCAGGGACAUGGAACAGCUUCACUUGGAUGCCACAACCCAUUUCACCAUCUGGUGGGUCUAGUCCAUAUUCCCCAACACUUGGUAAACAUUCACGAGACGAGAGCAUUGCUGAACCAGGAACAAAAAGAAUAUCCGGGAGAUGCCUGUGGGUUCCCAAGACGCUGAGGAUCGAUGAUCCAGAGGAAGCUGCUAAAAGUUCGAUAUGGGAAACACUGGGAAUCAAGAAGGACGAAAAGGCAGACACUUUCAGGGCUUUUAGGUCAUCACACAAAGUAAAAAGUUGUCUUUCUGAUGGAAAACUUCCGGGAAGACGACUGGAACUGCUAGCUAAUCCUGCUGCUCUUUCAAGGUCAGCGAAUUUCCAUGAAAGCUCAUAGAAUGAAGAUGAAACUAAGCAGAUGAUUUGAUUGUUUUGGGUUCAGUCUUGUGUCCCAAGAAAAGCAGGUGAGUCCUUUUGUAAAUAUAGCUAUUUAUAUAUAAUGGUUGACAUAGUGAGGGAGAAGUAGUUUUUGGAUUGAAGAGUGAAAGUUUGUUUGUUCGAUAUAAUGGAAAACCCCAAAACUGUAGUUAAAUAAAAUAUUGUUUAUGGUCUCGAAAUAUUUGCCACAUUUCCAUUAAGACAUACAAAAUGUAGUUUAUGCCGAUCAUAUGACUCUGUCUGGUCACAAACAUUUUAAAAUGAGCAUUGAUUUCUAAAUAACAGUCUCCUCUCCAAAGUAUUUUGAUAUCUACUUUAUGAAUCAAUGGUGUAAGAAGAACUCAAAAUCACCAAAACGUGAGAGUCAAUAUUCACUGAUCUAUAUGGUCAGUCAGAGUCUGAACUAGACCUGGGCAUUUCGGAUAUCAGUUCGGAUAUUUCGGGGUUUCGGGUAGUUCGGAUAGGUGGUUAGAGGAUCCAUUUACUACUUGACCUAUUUUCGGUUCGGUUCGGUUCGGAUAGUAAAUGUGGAAGAGAGAGAGAGAGUAACAUUUAUACUUUAUAAAUUGUAGUAAGUAUUAUUUAAAAUAAGUAAAAAUUUAAAUAAAUUAAUAACAGGUAUUAAUAAUUUAAUAAGAAAAAUAUAUAGAGAAAAUUUGAACAGAUUAGUUAAGAUUAUUGCAAUAUACAUUUAUAUCUAUGUAUAAUAACAAAAAAAACGCAUAUAAACAUAUAAUAUUACGUAUGUAACUUUUAACGACCAAAAUAAUUAUACAAUUUAAAUUAUAAGAGAAUUUUAUUUAAAUAAUUUAAAUGGAAAUAAUAAAGUUUGUAGAAAGUUUGACUAACAAAUAAAUAGGUUAUUGAAAAUAUUUAUUAAUUAAUCAAAAUUAAAUAUUGGACAAUUGCUAUGUUUCAUAAGCUGAUAAGUUUCUUUACAAAACCUAAAAAAAAAACAAACGUAGACAACUAAAUAAUAAAAUACUAACUCAAUUUAGUUCAAACUCUAAUCGAUGCAAUUUUCUUUGAUGUUGAUUUAACAUCUUAUUUGUUUAUUUUGUAAAGAAGACAGCUCAAAAGUCAGCUGUCUUCUUUACAAAAUAAAAAGAAAAAGACAACUCAAAAGUAUAUCUGUUUCUGAAAGCGGUUAGGACAUAGUUGCGUGAUAUGAAAACCAUACAUACGACGUAAAAGAAAAAUCAAACAUGGAAAUUUGUAAAUUUCUGAAACUAGUAUUAAAAAAAACUGAAAUGUAUCCCACGGUAGGAAGUAGGAACACGAUGAAGCGAGACGUAACAUAUCUAUUGACAAUCGUAACUUUAUAUAUAUGUAUAAAAUACAGUUUUCCAAAAAGAAAUACUAAAUAUAGUUUAACUUCAUAGAAAAAUACAAAAAAUAGUAUACUACCAUGAAUGGUGCACAAGAAACUUCCUCUCAACUUACUUUGUAUUCUUCUUUCUUAUAUUAAGUUUCUAUGUAAGUUUCAUCUUUUCCUAUCCGUCCUAAUCUCUUCUUGCAACUGCAACUUCCUCAGUUUUGCAUCUCCACCUAAAACUCUGUCCACAUUGACUAUAUAUAUAACCUUAUAACACAAUUCAUAUCUCCCACAUCUCUUCCAAAACAUUUACUUCAUUCAUUUGCUAAGCUUUUUUAGUUUUAGAAUCUAACAAAAGUUAUGACUGCAAACCACUUGUACUGUCUUAUAACCAUGGAAAAGAGUUCCUUGUCCCAAUGCAAACAUUCUUCUUCUUUCCCUUUGUUUGGUCUGGUGGAUUUUUUCCUCAUCGGCUUUUUCAGAUGGGUUUCUUUCGCUCAGAUCUUUUUCUCCAGGUUCUGUCAUCUUCCUCAACACGAGCAUUGUGUUUCGGAGAAGAAGAGCAAAGAUCUUGAAAUCCAGAGUUUGAUCAAACAUGGUAAUGGUCUUUGUAUAGAAGAUGCAGAGAUGGUGAUGCAAAGCUUAGGACUUUUCACCGACCAAGAAAGCGAGGGACUUCAGAAACGUUACAGUUCAGAGGAACUAUCGAAUCUGUUUGAAGAGAAAGAACCAAGUUUGGAGGAAGUGAAGCAGGCUUUUGAUGUCUUUGAUGAAAACAGAGAUGGAUUUCUUGAUCCCAUAGAUCUGCAGAGAGUUUUGUCAAUCCUUGGUUUGAAGCAAGGAUCUAACCUUGAGAACUGCAGAAGAAUGAUCAGAUCAUUCCACGGAAACAAAAAUGGAAGAAUCGAUUUCCAGGGAUUUGUGAAAUUCAUGGAGAACAACUUCUGCUGAAAUCAUAGUUUCUGGAGUAACAAUCUAUGAACUUCUGUUUCUGUUAAUGUUGUUGUCUCAUUACCUUUUUGUAAAAUAUUAUUAUAACUUUAAUAUCAAAAGCUCCUAUAGAGCGAAAAACCAGUGAGAUGAUGAAUAAUUCUCACAUACCUAGAUACAAUUAAAACCAAAAGCUUCCAAUAGUGUAAACUGUGAGACACUAUUUACACCUAAAAAUGAUAACUAGAGAACAUUAAGAAAAUGCUUACGAUGAUCAAAGCUUGUGAGGCGGCAAAUGAUCGGUUUAAAUCAUCACCAGUAAUCACAACAAGAACAGUGACCGUCUUGAAAAUGAUGGAACCGGUUGGAAUCCCUGACAACUAUUAACCGGUCAGAGAGCCUUGAGAUAAGCUUGAUUGCAGAGUGACAAUCAUCACAUAUCCUCACGUUUUUAGUCACGUACAACGGUGACUUGUCAGGCGUUUUCAUCAGACCGUAAGCCACAGCUAGCUUCUCGCUAUGAUAAGAGAGGUUGUUCUCUCUCUGCUCUUCGUCUACAUCAUGGUAAGCUCCAGCAAUAUCAGGCGCAUACCCUAACGGCCUGAUCUUUGCCAAAACUUCCUUCACCUUUUCGUAAAUCAGCACAAUCUCGGCGUGUUGAUUAUCCUCUGAAAGAAACACAUGGGUUUUGUUUCGUAUACCUAUCCAGCUUACUCCAGGCUCCUUCUUAACACGCCUCUCCUUCAUCAAAGAACGCACUCUAGCCACACCGUCCCAUUCCUUGGACUUGGCAUGGAUAUUGGACAACAAUAUAUAGAUCCCUGAAUCGUUCGGAUGCAUCUCAAUGGCGUAUUCCGCCACCUUCUUUCCUAAACUGUAGUUCCUGCGAACGUAGCAAGCAUUUAGCAACGCUCUCCAUGCAACAACAUCCCAUCCUAUAGGAGCUGUUCUCAUGAAAUACUCAGCGUCUUCGAACAAGCCAGCCUUGCUCAAGAGUCCAACAACGCAUGUAUAAUGCUGUAGAUCAGGCUCAACACCAAACUGCUUCAUCAAAUGGUUAAAGUAGUAAUGACCUUGCUCCACGAAACCCAUAUGGCUACAAGCUUGCAACACGCCGAUGAAAGUUAUGCGGUUAGGGAACUCUCCCGCAGACAUCAUUUCCUCAAAGGCUUCAAGCGCUUCCAUCCCCAGUCCAUGAUGUGAGAAGCCACAUAUCAUUGUGUUCCAAGUAACUAUGUCUCUAAAAGCCAUGCCUGAGAACGCUUUCCACGCAUCCUCGAUGCUGCCGCUUUUGGCGUACAUGUUAACUAACGCAUUGCCAACCAUUACAUGGUUCCUAAAACCAGAUUUCACGACAAGACCGUGUAGAAGAUCUCCUUGUCUUAGAAGAGAGAGCUCAGCGGUCGAGUUUAACAAAACAGCAAAGGUGAACUCGUUAGGUGGAACCUCUUUGGUUUCCAUCUUUGCAAACAGAUUCAGAGCCUCCUCAUAAGACUUGUUCUGGAAGUAAGCAUCCAUGAUCGAUGUGUUCAAGACGAUGUUUAGAGUUUUCGUACCAUUGUAAACUCUCUGAGCAUAUAAAGGGUUACCACAUUUACCAUACAUGUUAAUGAGUGCACCACUAACAUCAUCAUGACAGUCGAAACCAAGCCUUACCAUUCGGCUAUGAACCUGCCGAGCCAACUCCAAAUCUCUGAGACUGGAGCAAAGCUUUAAAGAAGACAUGCACGUGAAGUCGUCCCACACCAAAUCUUCCUCAGCCAUCCUUCUCAAAACAUCAAGCCCUUCUUCUAAAGCACCAUGCUCCAAAUACCCACUAAGAGCCGAGUUAAAAGCAAGAAGAUCACAACACGGAAGAUCAUCCAAAAUCUUGAUAGCCUCUCUCGUUCCAGAACAUGACGCGUACAUGUAGAGAAGCGUGUUCCGUACAUACUCAUGUGACAUCAAACCAUGUUUAAGAAAACAUCCAUGACACUGCUUACCUUCUUCGAUUCUCCCAGAGUUCGAACAAGAUUUAAAAACUAUGGUGGCUACAAACUCAUUAGGCUGCGAUUCGCCAGAAAAAAUCAUACUUUUGAAAAGCUUCAAAACUUCGAAAUCAAACCCAGAAUCUUGAUAACCUUUCAUCAACGAACACCAAGAAACCACACUUCUCUCAGGCAUUGAAUCGAACAGCUUGUGUGCACGAACUGUUUUCCCGCAUUUCAUGUAGAGAUUGAUCAGAGAUGUGAUUUGCCAUGCGUGCUCAGCUCGAGAUGAUUGGUUCCUUAUGAUCAAAUGAGCGUGAAUCGAUUCACCAGUCCUCAGAUAACUUGAUUUGGCACAGACUUUUAAGUGAGCACAAAGGUGAUCAACCCGUGGAAGAGCUUCUAUUGGUUUGGGUAAUAAAGACGUAAGCUUGUUCAGCUUUACCACUCUUCGUUCGAGUAUAGGCAAGACGGACAUGGCACCAAAGUUGCUCCUUAUCCCAAAAUCACCAAAACCCUCAAAAGGUUUAACGGAGAAGAAGAAACUCAGUCUCUUAAAGAGGUGUUCGGUAAAAUUUCGGGUUUAAUUUCGGUUUCAGUUUUUUGGGAUUAAAUAUUCAAUUUGGUUAGACCGGAAAUCUGAAUUCCGGUAUGGUUUCGGUUUAACUUUGAUUGAAUAUCAUCGCAGCUGCUUCAAAAGGGUGAGUGACUGAGUGUGAAUAGAAUCAAGGGUUUAGGAUUUGUGAAUUUCGUUAAGCUUAGAAGAACACAGAUCUGCAGCAGUUUUUCCUCUGCUAAUUGGUAUAUAUAUAUAUAUAUAUAUCUUCAACGAUGGAACCAAUAUUUUUAAGCUUGCAAGCUUAUCCAACAACAUUCAUCCUCUUAAGCUUCAAGCUUGACCUCUAUAUCCACGUCCACUUCUGCCAUGUCCUUUUUGCCUUGUGAUGUAGUGAAACAUUGCUGGUGAGUGUUUGCGUAUAGAAGUUCCCCUUGUGUUUCUGCAUUGAUAUCUUCAUUCUUGAUUCUCUCAUCGUAUGCCUUCAGCCUUCCAAUAAUAUCUUCAAAACCUGUUGUCUUAGGACUUGUUCAAGUGAAGGUAUUAUGUGAAUGAAUUUGUUUCUAGGAACACUAUUGAGAAACUUUCGAACAAGCUUGGAUAUAUCUCAUGUCCAAGCAAAGCCGAUUUUGAGACUAGCUCUGAUAACUUUCCCGCAAAGCUAUAUUGUUUAUGAAUCCUUUAUCUUAAUUAUUUUGAAUUUAGACAUUAGGGUUUGUAAUCUUGCUUCCUUGACACGAUCAGCUGAUAGGUUUCUUGAUUUAAUUUCGUACCAUAUCCCCUUAGGUCUGUCUUGUUCAACAACUUGCAUAAUAAGACCCUCUGGAAUGGCUUGAAACAAUAAUCAUAUUGCAAUAUUGUUUAUAUCGAAAUCAUCCGUACCUGGCUCAAUCAUAUCCAACACCUUGUAUAUCUUCAGCAAGAUCUUCAUCCUCAUAGACCACACCAUGUAGUUUUUCGUGCUGCAUUGGAUCAUCGGUGGUGAGAACUCCUUUGAACGUGUUGCAAGUUCGUCUCCCAUGGCUCGUGAUUAAUGAACGUCGAUCAUACAUCCAGUUGACCCAUCAAUCAUAUUUAUCUGUGUCAAAAAUUUUUUUUUGUAAAAUUGAAAAACAUAAGCGUAUAUGGAGCACCGAACUUGAGUAUAAGGGUGUCAAACCUUUAAAAAUACCAUGUGGACUGAUGAUUCUAUAGAACUUACAAUUAAAAAAAUAUUUUUAUCGUUUCACCUGUGUCAACUCACACCCUAACAGAGCGGAAAUAAAACAGAGGUAACUUUAAAUUUUCAGAAUACCUGUUAUCUAAGUCUUUUUUGAUCUGUUAAAUUCUUAUAGAAUGCUCUAAAUUUUAUAAAUAUCAAAUCAAAAGUGUCUUUGACAAGUCAAGAAUUUCACUAUAUAUAACACAAUGAAAAGCCCUAAGUCGCUAGGGAUUAUAAGCUAAUCUUUUAUCUUGAAGUCUUACUCCUAAUUAAUCCUAAAAAAAACAUAUUAAUGUUUAUUUAAAACAAUAAAGGAAAAUAGAAAGCCAAAGCUUAAUGAGAUAAUGAUGUAUGCUACGUCAGGAUCCCUCCCCUACGAAAAAGCAUCCACGAAUCCUGAAAGUAAGUCAUCGAUUCGGUUCAUGCUUGAAGAGAUGCUUGACGUUGAAGAGUCUGUGGUGUGUAUGUGUGAUGGCAACGGUAAUCUGUACGCAUUUGGAUUGAUCUUCUCGAGUACUUCGACGGGUCCAAUCUUACGCAGCUUUAACUUAUUGUACUGUUCUGUUUGAAACCUCUCCUUACUAUGCAUGGCCCAAAGGUAAUCUCCCACCUGAAAAUGUAUUUCGGGCCGAAGUUUAUCUGCUUACUCUUUGUACUUAAACGAAGAAGCCUCUAGAUUACCACGAGCCAAAGCAUGGAUGUGCUCGAGCUCAGUAACGAGGUCUACUGCUCGCCCAUGAAACUCACCCGACUGAGGUCUAUGAGGAACAAACCCAUACACGACCUUGAAAGGACUGAAGCCUAGACUCCAAUUAUGAGUGUGAUUAUAAGCAAACUCUGCUUGACACAAGAUAGAAUCCCACGACCUGAGGUUAUUGCCAACCAAACAUUGUGGAACUCAUGUUCAGACUGAUCUUCAAAAGCUUCCACAAAGAUUUUCAAAAGUGGCUUAUGAAGCGAGAGUCCCUGUUGGAUACAAUCGAUAUGGGAAUACGGUGUAACCUAUAAACUUCGCGAAAGAAAAGUUGUGAAACUUAAACAGCAUAUAUUGUCUUUUUGCAAAAAAUAAAGCGAGUCAUUUUGAAAAAAAAACGAUCAACGCAAAUAUGGAAUGGUUACCACGUUGGGCUCGCGGUAGACUAACAAAAUCCAUACUGAUAUCGCUCGAAAACUGCGUAGGGAUCGGAAAUUUUUACAUUCUAAGACACAUUAUGACUUAUGAAUUACACAUAUAGACACAUUCUGCUGGUCAGACACUUUAUGGAUGUGUAUUGUCCUUCAUGCCCUCAAACUAGACCAACUAUCUCAUCUAAUUAAUUAAAGAGAAAAGACUAUUUCUUAUUAUUGAAAAGUCACGAGUCACAUAUUCUCUCUCCAUUCCCGAUUUCAAAACUCAGAUCUACUUUCCCUUUCCCAAAUUCCCAACCCUAAUUUCGAAUCUCUUCCAUUCAUCCUUCAUCGUUCGUUGAAUCACACCAUGAACCCAUAUUUUUUUAUGCUUGUUUUGUUUCCAUGAUUCUCUCUCCAACUUUCUACCCAUCUUCCUCCGCUUCCCGAUAAUUCUCAGAAAACCCUUUUAAUAUCUUCAAACAAACCAUGACGAAAUUGAAGCCAAAUAAGAAAGAGAAUAAAUCCAAGACUUCUGAGGAACCAACCCCUCGCAAAUCGCAGCAGGAGGUUUUGUCCAUGUCCACGUUUUAUAUACAUGUCCACAUUUUGGUUUGAUCAAUUGUGUCCAUGUCCACGUUUUAUAUACAUCCAUGUCCACAUUUUUACUCUGUCAAUAAACACUUAAUCGAUUAAUUUGUUUUUUUUUCUGGGUCAUUCUAAAAUUCAACAACCUAGGUAGAUAAAGGUUGUUCAGAUGCAAAGUACGCUUGCUGUUUAAAGGGUCAAAGUUUGAGUCCUCGUCGGAGAAUUUUAGGUUUAGAACUAAAAGAUUAAAAUUUUGGUCUGAACAUUUUUUCAUCUUUUCUGGGUUUUUGUUUGGAGGUUAGAGCGGUGGAACGACUUUUUCUGUUCUGAAGAGAACAUGGGCGGUGGUUACUGGUGGCUGGAGUUGUCUUGGUGUCUAGACGGACAUGGCUCCUUUCAUCCAAACCCGAGUGAACUUAGAAGGCUCUGCUCUUUCGAACACGAAGACGUGAACUCCCUCUGCUCUUUAUCUUCAAAUGCUUUGAAAGCACUCUCUAGGAAUAAGGAUAUUGAAAAGUGAACUCCCCAAAACCAUUUAAAUGCUUCGAAAGGUACAAUUUUUGGAUAAUCUUCAAGUUCUAGCGACUCCACUGUGUUUGUAGUUGUAUUUUCUAUUGUAUCCACAAAUCAAACAUGUAUUUUUCCGUCCACGAGUAAAUGUACUUGUCCAUGGAACCUUGUCCACAAUACUUUUUUUUGGAUCGAACUCCUUGUACACAAAAAAAACUUCAUACAUAUAAAUUGUAGGUUUAGAAAAAGCUAAAAAAUAUAUGGAUUAAUAAAACUCUUUAAAUGUUUGAUAUGAACUCGUCCACAAAAAAAAAAUAUGAUACAUUAUUUUCAAAUUUUAGAUGAAAAUGAGUAUGUUCUUUCAAAAACCCGUCCACAAAAUUUUACCUUUCUCCUCCUAGCUGUAGCUCGUUCCAGUUUAAAAAAGCAGCGAAACCAUGAAUUUAUUAUUAAAAUCUACUUAUUUUACACACAAAAGCUCAUCACCCUUAGAUCUAUUGACAUCCAACGGCUCCCCAGGAAUCUAAUUUAUAUUAUGUUUGGUCCCCACAAACCAGUCAGAAUUAAAAAUUAAUAAAACUCUAAGGAUGGUUCGGUUCAGCCAGCGAGGGGCAGUAUAGUCCAUAAUGUGAUGUGUCAUGAGAGAAAGUGUCCCUCCAGCAAGUUGUAUCUGAAUGUGUUAAAAAAGAUAAAAAAAGUGUCCCAAACCGUUAUCAACUCUAGGGAUCGGCAGGCAACGGUGGAAAAAGGCCCGCGUUGGAAGCAUAGUUAUACUAAUUUAUAUCUAGACAAUGAUAUUACUUUAGACAAUGAUAUAACUUGGUAAAACUAUAAUUCUAGUUAUGCAAAGUUAUACUAUUAUCAAAGUAAAAUUUGGUAUAACUAAAUUUAUACUAAGUUAUAGCUGAUAUAAUUUAGUAUACUAAGCUUUAUCUCGAUGACUAAAGUCUAAAUUUUGAAAAUUUUAGUUGGAAGAAAAGGAGGAGGAAAACCAUAAGGAUAAUAUUAGAAUAUUAUUAUUUUAUUAAGAAUAUGAGAGUGUAUUGAUUUAAAAAGAAUAAAUGUGGUUAACUUUUUCUUAUUAAGAGCAUUUGAGAUUGCUAUCCACAUUUCAGUCAAUGUGUUUUUUUUUUGUAUGAGAGGUUGUUAUUAGAUAGCUAUUGCCAUUAGAAUAACAGUUAAAUUAAAUUAUGUGUAUCAUAGUUGCCGACAAAAGAAAAAGAAAAAAUCAAAAAAAACUAUUAAUAACUAAGGUUGUCGUAAGAGAAUCCGUACCACGUGUUUCACCGGCUUCGUGUUCCUUUUUAAGAUUUUCUUUCUGCCUGUUAUAAAGUCUGAUCUCUGAUAGAGAGAGAACCAACAGAAGCAAAUAAGAAAAGAAAACAGAGGAAAAAUGAGUAGCUCCGGUACGCAGCUUCACAAUGUUUUUGUCUACGGUAGCUUUCAGGAGCCUGACGUCACUUAUGUCAUGCUUGAACGUACUCCUGAAAGUAUCUCUGCCACACUCCCUGGCUUGUACUUUUCUCUCUCUCUCAGUUUCUCUCUUAAUACUCUCGAUGAUUACACUCUUGUAUAGAUGUGGUAUUUUGGAUUUUUGUCAGUACGAGGAAGAGGCUUAAAGGAUGUUUGUAUCCAUGUAUUGUGCCGUCUGAGGAAGGAGAAGUCCAUGGAAAGGUUUGAAUUUUUGAUCAUUUUGUGACAUCCAGCUGCUCUUUUUUCGUGGGUUUUACUUUUUGUGUGUUGUUUAGAUUAUUAGGGUUUAGAUUUUGAGAAUUUUUGGUGCAGGUAAUAAUGGGGUUAACGGAUGAAGAACUUAGGAACUUAGAUGCAGUUGAGGGUAAUGAAUUUGAGAGAGUGACAGUUGGUGUUGUACGAGAGGUGAGUCUUAAGAAUCUCAUCUUAACAAAAACAACGUUUAGAUGAGAUUGAUUCUAUCCUUUUUUGCAUGUACAGGACAACUCGGAGAAGAUGCCUGCCAAAACAUAUAUAUGGAUCAAUAAGAAUGAUCCUGAUCUUGAUGGAGAAUGGGAUUUCGAGGUUUAAUUCAUUUUCGUUAACUCAGCAUAGGUAAGGUAAUGUGGUUUGAUCGGGGUGUGUUUUGGAUUUUGGUUUUGAUAGGAAUGGAAAAGACUACACAAGAAGAAAUUCAUAGAGACUUUCAAAGAAAUCAUGGAAUGGAUGAAGGAUCCUCAGGGAAAGGGACGGGAUACAUUCAGCCAUGCCCUCCGCGAAGAUCAAGUGAAUCAAUCGUCUUGAAUAUAUUGUGUAUGUUGAGUAUGUCCUAUACAUCACCUUUGUUUCCAAAUUCCGAAUAAAACAAAAGGUACUGUGAAGAUCAGUGAAAAAAUAGUAAUGAUGACAUGGGGUAGUGUAAGAUUGAUCAUGGGGGUGUGGUAUUAUUCUGUUACACGUCUUUUAGAGAUUUUGGCAUAUAUAUGUAUGUGUUGUGUAUGGUCUCGUUGAUGCUAAUGCUUAUGGCUUCUAUAAUUACAUUUGAUAAGUAUACGGAUUAAGGAACCAAAGAAAGUAGUAGAUCACUGAACUAAUCAGAUAAAAUAGUCCACAAAAGUUUCGUAGCAUUGUCCACAACUGAUAGAUUUUAGGAGUCACGUGCAUUGAUUCCAUGGCAAUAUAAUCUUGACAAUCAUAAUUCCUUGAUAGUGACUAUCAUAAAUCCUACCAACUUAUAUUAGUAUAUAUUAAGUUUGAUAAGCUUUCAGUUAACCCGUAUUAUUUACUAUUAUUUAAGAUCGAUGUCAAACUUAUCUCUAACUCUUGGGAUAAUAUUUGGAAAAUGAUAGAUGAACAAAUAUUGGAUUAGUAGCUUGUUACUGGUCAAGAGAGCAGACGUAUUGGAUAAUAAUGUAAUUCUAUAGUCAAAGUCUCGAAUAGUUAGAUCUCUUGUUAUAGGGUUUGGGUCAUUCCUUUAUAGGUUCUCUUUAGUCGAAAAUAAGGUUAAACUUUUCCAUAUCAUCAAAUAUAAAAAAAUUCUUUUUAUUAAAAGUUUUCUAUUUUACCUAGAGACAGGAAUGAAUCCGGCUCUAAAGCCAGAAUUCGUUUAGACAGAAAUCAAAAAUCGGCAUUAAGCGCGGAACAAGGAGUAGUGACUCCCUAAAUUAGUUAUUCCCAAACUCUUUAUCUUUUUUCAUGGGUGGCAUCGAGAGAUAAUGCACUUUGGUUGACCACAGUCGUACUUUCUCAGCAUGUCAAUAAAUAGUAGGAGCAAAACGUCGCUUCUUUAGGUUUUUCAGGAUUAUUUUGGCCUAGACUAUGUAGGAACCCGAUAGUAGAUAUCUACCCAAGAGUAGUCAUGAGUAGUCAAAGGAUAUAUGUUUUUCCUUAGGUGAUUUAAGCUCCAAGCCAACAUAAGAUCGCGUGGUCGCAUUUCAAUGAUUAACGAGAUCCAUUUUUUGGCACAGGCCUUGGUGGCUUGUGGUCUGAGAGGCAUGUAUCCUUCUAGGCAUAUAACCUAAUAAUAUUCUGGAACGAAUGGCAGGAUCCGGCAAAGGAACUUUCGAUGUACUUCAGUGGUACUUUGUUUUUCCAAAUAUUGUAGAUGGAUCCUGGCCUGAACCCGGAAUUAAGUAGUAGGAUGCUACAAUGCACAUACAUUUUUGUCUGGCUGAUAAUGAUCGUAUAAAUCUGCCAAUGUCCUUCAAAGAUCCAAGCAGGGGAUUCCCAAGAAAUACACACACACACGAGGAAGACCAGAGAAAGUUAGUUUAGUGACCCGCUUAAAUAUAUCUGCUGAGGAAAGUUUAUCAUCUUUGCUCGAAAGCAGGGAUUUCUAGUUUGAAGGUCGGAGCAUGGAAUUUGUGCCUUCGGUAUUUUAGGAAUGUGUCUUCCUGCUUCGUGGUAACUUUGGCAUUUUGCUGAUUAUUUUUGCUCUGAUCCGCUUUCUUGGUUCUUUGCGUUGGUGCUUGAUAGCACUCAUUUGUGAACGAGGGAUUGCUUUGUCUUUAUAUUUCUACCAUUUCCUAACAUCUACUUAUUCUGGCCAAAAUAUUCUAUGGUAAGAUGAGGUAAGUUAGUCUACAUCCUUGAUUUUCUUUCAGCUCCGCACCUUUAUUGGGCUAAUGUUACUAUGGCAUUUUACAUUUUUCUGACCAAUAAAAUAGGUUAUCAAAUUUCAUAUGAUGAUCGUUAGUACAAGAAUAAUUAGAUAACUAAAAUUUUUAGACCAGUCCUACCUAUCAAAUUAGAUCAUGUUUAGUUCAGUGUGAAAUUAAAAGAGAAAAAGACAUGUACAAAAAUAAAUGCUCUUUUAACUACUUCUCGUUUUGAUACCCCAUUUUAUUGAUUUUCAAAUCUCAAAUACAUAAACCAACAAAAAGAGAUUAUGGUUCCUAUAUAUAUAUGUGUGUGUGUGUGUGUUUGUUACUAUUAUGACUGCACCGCCAUUUUUUUUUGCAUGUUGCCAUUUAGAUGUUAUAACCUGACCAAAAUUUUAUUCUGUGUUGAAACCUCCAUUUUGGUUUGCUACUUGUAAUGGAAAAAGAGAACAUUUUUCUUCACCAAACAAUUGGUCUCUUUCUCAAAUAUUUUUCCGCUACCUAUAGAAUUAUAGGUUUUUACAUUUCUAGUGGAUUUGAUGAUGACAAAGUCAAUUUGAAGACAUUAAUCAGAUAAAAAAAAAUAGAGACACAUCUAUUUAGAUAAUUUCCAGACUUUACUUUCUUUUGAGAAAAAUCGGUGAUCAUCUAGAUCUAUGCAAUGAUUACAGUUUCUAUCAAGUGCCUAAUCAACACAUUCAUCUCGAAGCUACAUCAUGUGGAAAUCUACGGACUUAAUCUGGAUAUCGAAACUCUAUCAUCUUAUUUUUCAUUUCUGCAUUUCUUCUUUAUUCCUCGUAGUCUGAACUCUAUAGCUGAUUCCAAUCAGCGGUAUGUAAUCCUCACUUUGCAAUGCCGUUUUAAGGCCUUAAUUAAGUAUUUGGUUGUUCAAAAAAAUAUAUACUAUUUUGCGGUUUUUUAAGCUGGCAUUUUAACCAUCUCCAAUGAUACAUGAAAAUGAUCAAAAAAUAAAAAUAUAUAAAAUUUCUUUGAUUGGUAUAUCAUUUUCAAAAAAAUUAAUAAGAACAUAAAAACAGUAGUGCAUCAACUAAAAACAAUAUUCACAAACUCAUUUACACUACACUAAUCCCUAAAAUUUUGGACAUUUUUAUGUUACAUAUAAAGGUUAAAGAAUUUGUUAAUACUUUAACCAAAAAAUUUAGUACUUCCAUUUAAAACUUAAUAUUGACACAAGUUGUUCCGCUAAAUCCUUAAAAUUGAUUUUCUUUUCAAAACCGCAAAUGUGAGUUUUUCCAAAACCGCACAUAUGAGUUUUUCCUCAAAAUGUGUUUCCCGUCAAAACCGCAAAAGUGAGUUUUCCUGCAAAAUCACAAAAAUAAGUUUUCUGCAGUAAUCACUUCAGAUUAUAAACUAGAAAUAUUUUAAUCAAAAACCAUUUACUUUGAUUUAUGUUAAUAUAUGAAAUAAUAUUUUUUGCCAGAGAUUAUAUAACAUGUAUUCACAUUAUUAAAAAAAAAAAGAUAAAGGUGUAUUCUAAAUUUGUUGGCAGAUUCUGGAAGGAACUCUACCCACAUGUUUCUUCUCAGAUACGCGUUUCAAAUUUCUAUUCAUUCCAUAUGGCGAGAAAGGAAUGGGAGAAAACACGGAGAGGCACACCAAACUUCAGUUACUUUGCUGAAAGGGAUUGAUAAAGGUGUGCGUAACCGCAUAUCUUCUCUGCGUAUGGGUGGGGAUCGACGAUUUCAGAAAGCCCUAAUGGCUUGGUUCGCCACAAGAAGUUAGCAAGAGAUUAAGUUUUGAUCUUCAAUAUUUUUUUCUUAUUGCAAAAAUAAAACAAUGUUACACCUGAUGUAAAAAGGUUUUUUUGAUUUGAAUAAAUUUAACAUUCUUUCAAAAAAAAAAAGAUAAAGGGUCUAAAGAAGGUUGAAAAGGGUUCAACCCUAUUUUACUUUUUUUAUGGGUUCUAAAAGGGUUAGGGUACAUUUAUGGUUGAGCUUAAGUUUAAAUAGGGCUUGGCUGGGUUGGAUAAACCCUAUAUAAUAUCCCUAGACACAACCAUUGGAGAUGUCCAUAGAGAAACUCUGCCAUCUUGAGUUCUCGACUUUUGUGUAAUACCGAUUCAUUGAAAUCAUAGUAGACAUAAUCUUAAGCAAAAGUUUUUCACAAAUAAAGAAAGUAAACCAAAGUUACAUUGUCCAAGAUUAGGUUACUUCUAAAGGCCGAAGGCUACAAAAAGCAAAGCAAGUCUUAGUUUUUUUUCUUUCUUUUUGGUCUCCAAGAAACAAAAACUAAAGUAACAUUAAAAAGGUAAUUAAAAACUAACACAUAUCAGCGAUGUCCUACACUAGCUAAGUGGUAAUGGUACAACUUAAGUGUUAGGAGGGGAAUACGUCGCCGACAUCUCACUAGCGGUCGUCUCAAAACCAGUCUCGACCAUUGAUCUUACAUUCGGAAGCUCGUGAGUCAAUCCUCCGGCCAAGUUGUGAAAGUAGUUAUCCUCAUUGUUGCUAGGAAACAGAACAUUCUCUGUUUCACUGUUUCUCAGAAACAUAGCAUCCCCUGUUCCGUUGUUUCUAGCUAUGUUGUACGGAACUCCGAGCAUCUGAGAAGCAAAAUAAGCAGCAGCCGACUCUGUGAAGCUUGCGGGUUCGUCUACUGGAGAAGAGCUAAGGUUUUGUCUUGUUGGUAUGUUGCUGAAAACGUCUGUUGAAGCAAAAAGAGUUGUGGUUUGUGACACUGAGUUGUAUUGGCUGGUUUCAGGUAUUGCCGGAUGAAGCCAUGAUUGUGGGACUGAUCUUUGUGAUGAUACUGAGUUCGUCUUCUUAAAUAUUCUGCAAAUAGCCCAAGCAUCCUACCAAAAAAAAAAAAACACAAACACAAACGAAAGGUUAUUUCUCCCGCGUGUAAAGCAAGUUAGGGAAAGUGUGGUUACUUACGCUUGAAGGAAUCUCUUUAUUGUUGAUGUUAUGGUGUUGCUUCUUGUUAUUGUAACUGGGAUACGACGAUGAGCGAUGAGAGUCAGAGAGAGAAGGGAGGCGAAAUUCGUGCAUCAUCCAAUCGGUUUUGAUUCCUUUAGCAGCUCGACCACGGUAGAACACAAGCGACUUCUUCAAACCGAUGCAUCGAGUGGAGUCCAAUGAGUAUAUUGGCCGGUCAGUUCCGGUUGCUUUCCAGAAUCCACCUCCAGUUACACGGUUAGGCCUCGUGCUGUUUCGAUAUUUCCUGUCUCUUGGACAGUAAAAGUACCACUCUUUCUCCCCCAUCGCUGCAAGCUCUUUUUAAACAUUGAUUCAAGAAAAUGCACUCAAGGCUUUAGUUUCCAUAAGUUUGGAGAAAAGUUAGAAAUAAGAGUUCAGUGUGGCGUACUUGGGAGGUCCCACGGAUCGUAUUUAUAGAUAUCGACUUUUUUGAUGAGUUCAAAGGGAAGAGAUCUGUGUAGAACCUUCCGUUUCAGGUAGAAACUUACGAGUUCUUCGUCUGUGGGAUGAAACCUAAACCCUGGCAAAACGACGUCAUCGAAUCUUUCUACGUUGUUGCUUUCUUCAUCAUCCAUAAUUUAGUACUAUUGUGAUUAUGAAAUAAAUCUACCAAAAGAGAAUGAAGAGAGUAAGAGAGAUUUAUAGAAAUUGUGUGUGAGAGAGCCUUGGAGCAUGAAGAGAAGAAGACAGAAGUUGCUUAGAUAUCAAGAAAUGUGUUCAUGGGGAAAUGAUAAUUGGACCAGAAAGUUAUGCAUAGCUAUAAGACCAAUGUCUCUAGGAGAAGUGGAGAGUUUUGCAAGAAAGAUAUGAUCUUUAUUUUCUUCGUCAUUUUAUAUAUUUUCUUAAAAUUUCGGGCGUGACGCAAAUGAAAAGUGUACAUUAAUAUUAAAUUAUAAAAGGUUAUGGAAAAACAUUUUCCUUUACGACAAUUUUUAUGUACGUAUAUUCGACCGACUUUUCGUAACUACUGAUUGGCCUCGUUAUCGUUUCUUGCUGAAGUGUAUUGCUGCUCUGUGUUCGGAAUUUCCUGUAGUCAUUAAUUUGCCAAACAAUCAUCAAAAUCCAAUAUCGUUUCUCGAAAGUUUGGUGUCUUCUGCGAUGGCAGGUUCUAGUUUUAUCUUGCGUUAGGAAGAUUUGCUUCAUGACAGGAUUCGCAAUGAAGCAUCGAUCAAUGGUUGACUCAUUGAUCUUUUCGUUAGGACUGAAUCAGGGCUGAGGCGUUGCUGUUUUGGUGUUGUGCUUUGUAUCAAUUUUUGUAGCCAUCUUAGAGCAACAUUAUUGGAGGUUUCUUGAUCUUAGGUUCUUAAAAUACAUGUAUGUGUAUGUAUAUAUUAUAUAUACGUAUGUAAUUGCAGGGUUCUAAGCUUUACGGGAAACUCAAUCGAAAGUUUUUAAAUAAGAAACUUUCGGUUGAGUUUCCCGUAAAGCUUAGAACCCCGCAAUACGCAUAUAUAAUAUAUAUAUACACAUACAUGUAUUUUAAGAACCUAAGAUCAAAAAACCUCCAAUAAUAUUGCUCUUAAUGAGAAGCUAUCCCAUUGCCCUCAUAACUCUCAUUCUAUUUUGAUAGCCAUUCGUUUACCUCCUGAAUUUAUUCUUAAUUUAUGAAAUAUCUCUUGAAAUAUCAUAAUAUUGUAUGUGAUCUGUCUACCCGCAACAAAAGCUGACUAAGUUUCCGAUAUAUGUUCCGGUAAGAUUUUAUUUAGUCUUUGACACAAUACCUUGGAGACGAUCUUAUAGCUCACGUUUCAUAUCUCUAAAUUAAAAUGCCAAAACUGGGCUAUCUCAGUUGGCUUAUCUUUCUUUGAAAUGAAAUAAAUGUUUGUGUCAUUCAAUCAUCGAGGAAUGAUGUUAUCGAAAAAGAAUUCAGUAACCAUACGGGUUAAACUCUUUUUCCUAUAUCUCAAAAAUUUUGGUAAAAUAAUCUUGUUAUCCCGUCUGGUCCUAGAGCUUUUUCUAGAUCGCAAAUAGGACUAAUUUACACCACCUUCUAGAACUGAGGCUGUGAGGUCUUGAUUUAUCGAAGCUGUGAGGUCUUGAUUUAUCGAAUUCUCGUUAGUAAGCAAGUAAUCAACAAUUUAAACGUAGAAAUAUUUUAAAAUUCAGUUAAACAACUUCCAAGUUAAGCCUAAAUCAAAUUAGGCAUCGGUUAAAUCGAAUACAUUACUUAAGCUUGCUAUGUGUGUCUCCAAGUUUGAGACAUGUAAAAACAUAAUGUAGAAAUGAAGAUCUCGUGGUAAUUUAUUUUUAAAGAAAAAUAAACAAACAACGUUCAAGAUGAGAUAAAUCCAAAAAAGCAUGGGUUUAUUAACCCACGCAACACAAGUUCAGAAGUUUGGUCAAUUGCUUUCAACCUAAGUUUUCUCUUUCUCUUUAUAUGUGAAAGUCCAUUAAUUUCAGCAACCCAUAUUUUAAAAACUUUAUUUACUAAUACUGUGAUUAUCAAAGUACAUGCAUAUAUAUAGUAGUACUAGCACAUGCAUGUUAAAUAAAAAAAUCCAUAGGUAGUAAAUAUUAAAUAUAAUGGUUUAGGUUUGUGCUCAAAAAAACAAAACAAAAAAGAAAGUUGACGUACUAAACAAGUGUUCAGUCUUGGGCAAGUUGUGAAAUUUUUUUCUUUUUCUUUUUCUUUUUCCUUUAGAAAGUUACGUGUUAAUAAAAAAAAAGUUACGUGUUAAUAAACUCUCUAGUUUGCGACAAAUGUUCUCUGACGGAAAAUAUAUGAAACUAAGUCCAAAAUUCCUUGAAUGAUUUAUUAACGUGAAUUAUUGUCAAAUAUGAAUGUAACAGGAUGUUAGAUAUAUGUAGGUGAAAUUAUUUACACCUUCGACCAUAUUUUGUAGCAAUGGCUAACAUCACUACGACUAUAUAUCACAGAUUCGAUUAAUCAGGAUUUCACAGCUCCAAUAAAAUAAUGGGAAGUAAAACUUUGUUUCCAUAUGGUUAAUGAAUUUCUAUUUGAUGGUGUCAAUAUUGUUUAAGGAUUGAAUGAUACAAACAUUUGUCUCAUUUCGAAGAAAGAUAAGGUCGUUAUAGUGGCCCGUUUCGAACUAUCUGUGCAAUUUGAGUUAUAAAAUUGUUUCCAAUUUUUUAAUGCCAGACACUGAAAUAGUCUUAGAUGCGCUUAUCUUUGAAAUUCAAUCAGCUUUUGUUACUGGUAAAUAGAUCACAUAUAAUAAUAUGAUCGUUUAGAAGAUGUUUCAUGCACUAAAAGCUAAUCAAUGUGGGAGAAAUAAGGGGAUGGCUAUUAAAACAGAUAUACACAAAACAUAUGAUCAUAUGUCAUAGAAACUUAUUAGAUAUGUUAUGAAGCAUAUGGGUUUUUCAGAAACGUGGAUCGAGUGGAUAAUGCUAUUUGUUACAUCUGUGUAAGUAUUGAAUCCUCAUGAACGUCCAGCCCAAUGGGAAUAUUGUCCCAUAGAGAGACAUAUGUUAUGGAGAUUCUUUGUCUCGUUUCAUCUUUAUUCUAUUUACAGAAGCGAUUGUUAGCCUUUUAAAUCAUGUGGAGAGUCAAAGUAAGAUAUCGGGGAUGUGGGUAGCACAUACUAGCCCUCCGGUGUCAUACUUAAUAUAUAUUCGCUGAUGAUAGCCUUUUUGUAAGACAGAUUCAUGUGCUUGUGGUGAAGUUAUGAAAACAGUUUUGUUAUAUGGGAAAGCAUCAAGACCUAGUAUUUAUUUUGAAUCGUCUUUGAAAGGCCUCUAUAUCCUUCGGUUCUGUUUAGAUAGCUGGUCACGCUUUAGAUUCUUAACGCUAGUUAUUUAUCUAAUUAAAUUUUAACAUUAAAAAAUUGCACAGGAAAAACAAGGACAUUUAUAGAGCUGGUUUGUCUCUGUUUGUUCAGAGUCACUAUAAUAAGAAACGUCUAUCACUUUUUUUUUUUUGGUAAAAGUUUAAAUAAAUCUGUCUCACACAAAAAAAAAAAAAUCUCUCAUCAUAUUUCAUAUAAAAAAGUCUCUGAAGCUCUUAGGAGAUCACCAAUAAAAGUGCUCAAUUAGUGGUAUGUGUAUUUAGAUUCAUCUCAGAUAUAAGUUAGAGAUCUCUUUAAAAAAAAAUAGACGCAUCGGUGUGAGAUUGGUAUGAUCAUAAGAGCAAAGGAAUUGUCACGUGAGAAGCUAACGAGCUGUCCACCUGCAAGUGAGAAGAGAAGAAACGGUUACACUAAGAAAGUAUAAAUAGAUGAAAUUGUAAUUGGGAGAGGAGUUGGUUAGUAGGAGCCUUGUGGCUUGGGAUUGUUUCUCCUAAGAGAUUCAAGAUAGAUUUCUCUGUAAUUCCGUUGUAACCUCUGUUUUUGGUAGAAAUAUACUUGAGUUCUAUCAAAUUGGUGCGGUGAGCGUGAAUCAAACACGAUCAUGAAUAAGUAGUACGCUUGAAGAAACAUUCAUAGUGUUCCCCUGACGAACAAAAACCAAAUCUCAUAUAUUUUUUCAACAAUCUAAAGAAAGAAAAAAUAGAGCAUGAAACUGAAACUGUGAUAGAAGAAAAUUGGGGGGAAAAUGGAAAUUAGCAAGGUUAUAUAGUUCAUAUUUACAGAAAACGAUAUUAAACUAGGGAAAAAAUGGAGAUUAUCAAAAAUAAAAAGGUUAUAUAGUUAUACUUACAUAAGAUGCUCGCGGAUGUCUUUCGCUUGGGGAAGAUAUGUCUCUUGAAUACAAAAAGCUAUUUUUUAAGAUAUGUGAAUAUCGACUUUUCACUUCUCUUUUCAGUAUUUGUAUAGAGUAGGUUUAAUAAUUAUAUCAAGAUAUACGUAUCGACAUCUUCUUAUUUCUGACAGCAAAUCUAUCAUAGGAUUACAUAGGAUUAUAGGGAGAAUAGGGGUGUUAAAGUGCAUAGAGGUCUAAACAGGGAACGGGUAUUUAGCUCUUUUUUUUUGGUCAAAGGAACGGGUAUUUAGCUAAUUUCGGCUUCUUUCGUGUAUAUCCCACCUAAUUUCUCUAUAUAAAAGUGUUUUUUUGUGCUCAUGCAGGGACAUAUAUUUUUACAAAAUAAAUAUAUUAAAAAAUUAUUAGUAUCUAAUUUAAAUUUUAAUUAUUUUAUGAAUAAUAUUAUAUUAUUUUAAUUAGAUAUGUAAUUUGAAUAUAUAAUAUCUAGUUGAAUUGGUUAUUACUUGAAUAUAUUGAAUUGUAUUUAUUUCUCUAAAUUUAACCGUAAUAUUUUUUGUGCUGAAAUAGAUUUAAAUUUUAUUAGUUUUUUUUGCAUUUAGACUUUUGAUUUAGCCAUAAAAACUUAGAUUGUUUAAGUUGCUCAUUUUGCGGGUUAUACUGAGUUACACAUAUUUUUUUUUAAAUCAAAGCACUAUUACUUUUAAUUCUAGUUAGAACUAAGUUUUAUUAGUUUUAUUUCCUUAAUUUAGUUCAUUUGAAAUAUGUAUAUAUCCAUAUUUCAUGUGUACUUCCCAUUAGGUGAAAUGUCAUACAUCUUUAUCUUUUGUCUUUGUCCAGCUCAAUGGUAUGCUUUCUAUAAUCUUCACAUCAUUGGGAUCCACAAAAAAAAACCUGAAUUGCUUGUAAAUUCAAUGUUUGCGAAGUUACAUUGAUAAAAAAAAAUUCACUGUAAGAUCAGGGUAAAGGUUGUGUUAAUUUCUAUUUGAUGGUCUUGGGCGAUUGGUUGGAAGCAAAAGAUUAUUCCAUACUGAAAUAGAUGAUCUUGAUCCAAACUUUUUGAUUAGUCUUUAGCUAACCAGAGAUCUAGCAAAGACGAUACUGCGCCAGCCAUAUGACGGUGAAUAUGAUCUAAUUGGUUUCCGGGGGAGGCGUUCCUGGAGUACUGUCCUUUGAAUACGCGAGGAAAUAAUGCAGUUGAUUUCUCUAUCAAGCGCCAAAAUUGCUUUCCAAUUAUGGUCGUGUUUAAAUUUGUAAGAUCUUUAAACCACAUGUUUCCUUCAUCCUUGGGAUUGCAUAAUUUUUCCCAUGAUUUCCAGUCAUGCCUUUUGUAUUUUCCUCUAAACUCAACCAAAAUUGUGCCACUGCACUCGUCAAUUUAUUUGUUACGACCUUUGGUAGACGAAAACAAGACAUUAUGUGAUUUGGUAAAGCAGUAAAUACUGAUUUUAGAAUCAAUUUCUUUCCCCAUUUGGUGAAUAAUUGAAAAGUUCAUCCAUUAGCCAGAUUAUUUAAACGGUCUUGGAUAAAACCAAAAACUUGUGUCUUUGAUCCUCCAAAUUUUUUAUGGCAUUCCCAAAUAUGAACCAUCCCAUCUAUGUUCUAAAUCCCUAAAAUAUCCCCAAGCUUCUGCCGAAUGGAUUCCUCAAUCUUCUGUCCAAAUUGAAUAGAAAUUUUUUGGAAAUUUAUCAUUUGGCCCGAUAUUUCCUCAUACUCUUAUAAAAUCCUGAUAAUAGUUUGACACUCCUAUUUUUGUGUCUUACCAAAAAAAGACUAUCAUCUGCAAAUAGCAAUCGAAGGGCAUACCCUUGCAACCUUUAUUCAUGUUAGUUGUUUCUCUCCCUCAACAUUUUUAAUGUUCGCAAUUGGGGACGCUUAUAUGUUUUUAUGGUCAUAAACUUGUUCUUGCAUAACUUAUUAGUCAUUAAACCAUUAAAAAUCUAUUGUGAUAUAAGGAUUUUGUCUGAAAUCAACCUUCCAGGUACAAAACCAAACCCGAUUGUGUUUCCGAAAUAAGUGUGGGUAGGCAGGUCUUAAAUCUCUGGCAUAACACCUUAGAAAUGAUCUUAUAUUUUACAUUGCAUAGACUAAUCGGCCGUAGCUCCGUCAUCCUUGUAGGCCUCUCCAUUUCAGGAAUGAGAAAAAUAUUUGUAAUGUUUAAAUUAUUGACCAUACCAUGCAGGCAGUGUUUUGAAACCCGACCCAGACCCGCGGUUGAACCGGUAAACCCGGUGACCCAGAAAAAAUCCAGUUUGAAUUUUGUGAAAAAUCCAAUAUUUAGAAACCCGCAAAAGCCCAGUAAAACCCGAAACCCGAUACCGUAUUAUGUUUUUAGAUUAUGUUUUAUAUUCUAAAUUUCCAAUUAAGGUAUUAGGUGCUGACAAAAAAAAAAGAGGUUAGGUUUUUCCUUUUUAGUUUCAUAUUUGUGAUUUUUAGAUUUUGAUGAAGAUUUCACUAUGCCACCUGAAAAAAAUGAAGAGAACGAUGGUAGAGAGAACCAAAAUUAGUUGAUGUAAUUUGGUGUUAGUUUAUUUCCGUUAUUGACAAUUUAGUAUAAUGAUCUUUUACUUUUGGUUUAUUUUGUAUUUGAAGUUUAAUUUAUUAUUCACAUUAGAUAUUUAAAUAUUUAUAAAUUUUAUGUCUUGAUAUUUUUAGAUGUCAUAACUCUUACCUUGUAAGAGAAAAUCUUAAAUAGUCUAAACUAUUUUUUGAUAUUUUGUAUGUCAAAUGAAAAUAAAAAUAUAAAAACUAAAGUUAAGUAUUUUCUAAAUGUUUUUAAACAUAAAAUAUAUACAUAUCCAAACUAUUAUCUUAUGUUUUAAAAAAAUUAGAAAUACUUUAGUUUCUAUAUUUUUAUUUACAUAUCUGAUAUAUUAUUAUAUAAUAAAAUUAAUUCAUUUAUUAACCCGUGGUUUAUCCGCGGUCGAUCCAGUGAUCCAACAACCCGGUAUGUCGUCCGAUUCAGUGUCCGGAUCGGGUUUAAAAACAUUGCAUGCAGGUCAUUCUUUAUAAUAGGCCAAGAGUGCUGGAAGAAAAGUGAUGUCAUGCCAUUCAAUCCAGGGGCUUUAUCUGGGUGCAUUAUAAACAGAGCUUGUCUUACCUCUUUCCUCCGUUGCUAUCCUGAUCAACCGCUGACUCAUCUGAUAAGUGAUGCUUGGUGUGAUCCCUUCCAAAAAACUUUUAAAGUAUGAGGGAGAAGUGGUACUGAAUAGAUUAUCAAAAUAGUGCACUGCAACCUUUUGUACUUCUUUUUCCCCUGUUAUCUAAUGUUUGUCUGCGUCGUGUAAACUGACAAUCCUAUUGCGAGUACGAUGUUGUUUCCUUAAAGCAUGAUAAAAGUUGGUGUAUAGAUUCCAUGAUGUAUGCCACAUAGUCCUACUCUUCUAUUGCCAUUACUCCUCCUCAUCAUUGUACAGUUUCUGUAGUUUCUUAGAGACAUCCAUUAUUUUCUCCUGAUUUCUACUGUUAUCUGUUUGUACUUCUUCCAAAGCUUGUUUAAGCUUGCUAAUUUUCUCUUUUCCCAUAUGGUGGAUUAUUCUUAUGCCAUCUAGCAAUUUCAUGAUGAAAAUUACAAAUUUUUGUAACAAAAUCCUUUGAACUACCUUCCUCUGAAUCUACCCAGGCUCUACCAAUGGAUUUCAUUAAACCAUCUUGUCGAAUACAUCUUUUAUCUAAUGAAAAUUAACCCUAUCGCCUGGGUACUUUAUCCUCAAGAUAAGCCAUUACUGGCCGAUGAUCAGAUCCUAUCAAUCCUAAAUAUUAUGGAAAUCUAUUUUAUCAUUAGAGAGAAUUUCAUGUUUACCACAUUGUUUGUACUAUUAUUCAUGUUUACCUUCAUUAAAUGAACAUUUUUACAAAUAUCUCAUCCAUUAAAGAGGCAAAACACUUUUAUACCCAUUGCUUUAUUAAUUUCUAAAUAUAUAAUUAUUUAAAUAAAUAAUAUUAAAAAUAAUAAAAAUGAAAUUAUAAUAAUUUUUAUAUUUUUUAAAUUUGAACUUUUUAUACUUUUCGAUAAUGUUUUCAAUUUUUUUCUAUGGUGAUGAUUGUUUCAAUAGUUUUUAGUUUUAGUUUUUGGUUUUUAGAUUUUAGUUUUUGGUUUUUAGAUUUUGGUUUUUGGUUUUCAGUUUUUGGUUUUUAGUUUUUAGUUUUUGGUUUUUAGAUUUUGAUUUUGGUUUUUUGUUUUGCAGUAUUUUUUUUAUUUUCAAAAAUUAAUUAAUAGAUUACUUUAAAAUAAUACAACAAAAUAGCCAUAAAUAUUUAGAUUUUACAAUUAAAACUUAUCAAAAUACUGUGAUUAUUAUUUUAAAAUAAAAUACAAUAACAUAUUUUAAUUAUUAUAUUUUUAUGAAAAUAUAUUAUAUAAAAUAUAAAUUAUAAAAUAUAUAUAAAUUACACAAAAUUAAAAAAAAAAAUUAAAUUUUGAAACUACUUAGAAAAUUUUCUUAUAUAAAAUAUUUAAAUUUAAAAACUUGAAUAAAUAGUUUUUCUUAUAUAAAUAUUAUAAAUUAUACAAAAAUAAAAGCACAUAAAAUUAUGAAAUUAAUUAAAAAUAACAAAUAUUAUAAAAACAUAAUAUGUUUUAUUCAUACAAUAUAUUGUAUAAUCCUGAAAUAUAAAAAAUGCCAUUCAACUUUAAGAAAAUAUAAAUAAUUUAUAUAAGAAAAUUUAUAAUUAAUUUCAUAAUUUUAUGUGUUUUUAUUUUUGUAUAAUUUAUAAUAUUUAUAUAAGAAAAACUAUUUAUUCAAGUUUUUAAAAUUAAAAUAUUUUAUAUAAGAUAAUUUUCUAAGUAGUUUCAAAUUUUUUUUUUUUUAAUUUUGUGUAAUUUAUAUAUAUUUUAUCAUUUAUAUUUUUUAUAAUAUAUUUUCAUAAAAAUAUAAUAAUUAAAAUAUGUUAUUGUAUUUUAUUUUAAAAUAAUAAUCACAGUAUUUUGAUAAGUUUUAAUUGUAAAAUCUAAAUAUUUAUGGCUAUUUUGUUGUAUUAUUUUAAAGUAAUCUAUUAAUUAAUUUUUGAAAAUAAAAAAAAUACUGCAAAACGAAAAACCAAAAUCAAAAUCUAAAAACCAAAAACUAAAAACCAAAAACUGAAAACCAAAAUCUAAAAACCAAAAACUAAAAUCUAAAAACCAAAAACUAAAACUAAAAACUAUUGAAACAAUCAUCACCUAAAACUAAAGCAAAAACUACAAACAAUCAAGCUCUAAUUUUCUUUUUGAAAUUAUUUAAAAAAAAUUCUAAAAUUUUUAAAUAUUUAUUAAUAUCCUAAACCUCACCUUCCAAACCCUCACCCCUCAACUAUAAACCAUAAGUCUAGAUUAGUUAAUCCUAAAGUUAUAAAUGUAUGUUUACCUCUUUAAAAUUGAAAGUAAAUAUGGUUAAAGUAAACAUGAAAAAUGGUAUUAGAAAUGUGGUUGUUUAGAAAAUUUCCUAAGAAUUAACAUAUUAUUUAGGAAAAUAUAAAUCAUAAAUAAAACAAGGUAUUUUCCAAAUUAUCUCUUUUAUCAAUGAUACCAAUUUCAUAAAUAACUAAACUGCUCAAAAGAUUGGGGGACACGUGGCGUCUAUAUCAAAAUUUCUCAAACGAUAAAUCUUUCUCUCCGAAAAAGCAGGUGGAAUACGUAAUACCAACUAUUUUAUCUCCGUAUAAAUUAAAAGAACAAAAGUUACAAACUUGUUUCCUUUUUAAGUGGGAUUUUCCUCUUCUUAUUUAAAUCGACUUUACUUGUUACCAUGUGAAUAAAAGUUCACUUGUUUCCUUUUCUAUUAAUAAUAAUGAAUUGACAUAUUAUUUUAAAUAAAAAGAGGAUAUCUCAACAGUUAUAUAUAGAGAAUAUAUCCAGAACGACUUUAGGGUUUUGAUUCUCUCUUGGCAUAUCUCUCGGCCACAAAAGCUCAGCCGUUGCACUUUAAUUUCUGCAUGAUGGCCAGGACGAUUGACUUUGCGCAAGGAUGGAGAAUUAUGCAGAUUGGUAUCACUAAGCUGGAAAAGCAUGUGGAAGGACUUCCUGGGAACUCAAUUAAUAGUGAGCAAUAUAUAAAACUUUACACGACUGUCUACGUUAUGUGCACCCAGAAACCUCCUCAUGAUCACACAGAGAAGCUUUAUAACAAGUACUGUGAAGUACUUGAGGAAUAUACUAAGUCGACAGCUUUGCCUUCUCUAAGGAAGACCUAUGACGAUGAAUAUAUGCUGCUGCGAGUACUUCUUGAAAGAUGGUCUAUCCAUAAAAAGAUGGUUAGACGCCUAUCCAGGAUCUUCCACUAUCUUGACCGUUACUUCGUUUAUCGCAAUUCACUCCUAUCUCUGGAAGAAGUUGGAUUAGCAUGCUUCGUUGACAUGGUUUAUAACACGUUGCAACGCAGGGUCAGAGAAGCUGUGAUAGCUAUAGUUGAUAAAGAACGAGAAGGUGAUGAUACUGAUAUUGAUAGGGCGUUACUUGAAAACAUUAAAGACAUUUAUGUAGAGAUUGGAAUGGGUAAUAUGAAAAGAUACGAACAAGAUUUGGAGAGCUUCAUGCUUGAAGGUACAGCGUCUUACUAUUCUCGCAAGGCAUCAAGAUGGAUUCAAGAAUAUUCUUACUUUGAUUACAUUCGGAAGUCUGAAGAAUGUGUAAAGAAGGAGAAGAAGAGAAUGUCUCACUACCUUUACGCAAGCAGUGAGCCAGAGCUGGUUAAGAAAGUAGAGCAUGAGUUGUUUGUAGUGUAUGCAAACAAGCUUCUUGAGAAAAAGCACUCAGAGUUCAGGGAAAUUGCGGGAGGCUUGGAACCUAUAACAAACAUGUUCAAGCAGCAUGUUGAAGACACAGAUGGUCAAGACACGGCUGCAAUCAGAAAAGUGAUUGAGGUACAUGAUAAGUACAUAGUCUAUGUCACAAAGUGUCUCGAGAAUCAAACCAUCUUUCACAAGUCCUUGAAAGAGGCAUUUAAGUUUUUCUGUAGCAAAGCAGUGUCUGGAAGCUCUUUAAGUGCUGAAUCACUGGCAACAAUUUGUGACAGAAUUAUAAUUCUCAAGAAAUGGGCAAGUGAGGAGCUGAGUGAUGAAGCUAUUGAGAAGGUGGUCAAGUUUCUUGCGUAUAUAAGUGACGACAAGGAUCUUUUUGCAGAGUUUUACAAGAAGAAGCUGGCACGUAGGCUGCUAUUGAAUCGUGAUGCUAGUUAUGAUCAUGAGAGAAGGAUCAUUACAAAGCUCAAACAACAGUUUGGUGGGAAUUUUACUUAUAAGAUGGAGGGAAUGGUGACAGAUUUGACAUUGUCAAGACAAUACCAAAACAGCUUCGAUGAGUAUGUAGCCAGUAACCCUGCUGCAAAACCAGGGAUUGAUUUUAACGUCACUCUUCUUACAACUAGUGUUUGGCCAAGUUACAAAACGUUUGACGUGAAUCUACCUAGUGAAAUGGUCAAGUGUGUUGAAAUUUUCAAAGUGUUUUAUGAAGCCAAACACAAACGUAGGAAACUUACUUGGCUCCACUCACUAGACACUUGUCACAUCAACGGAAAGUUCGAUCAAAAGCCCAUUGAUUUGAUCGUGUCGACUCACCAGGCUGCUGUGCUUCUGCUUUUUAACACAAGGGACCAACUGAACUACACUGACAUCCAAACUCAACUGAACCUAAGCCAUGAAGAUCUUGUGUGGGUGCUUCAUUCCUUGUCAUGUGCUAAAUACAAGAUUCUUAUCAAGGAGCCAGCCACAGAGACUGUCUCCAAGAAUGAUGUUUUUGAAGUCAACUCCAAAUUUACAUCUAGAAUGGGCAGAGUAAAGAUUCCUCUCUCUCAUGUUGAUGAACGGAAGAAAGUUGUUGAAUAUGUUAAUAACGACAGGCGCUAUGCAAUUGAAGCUUCUAUUGUCAGGAUCAUGAAGGGCAAGAAAGUAUUGGGACAUGAACAACUUGUUUCUCAGUGUGUCAAGCAACUUAGUGGGAUGUUCAAGCCUGAUGUUAAAGCGAUUAAAACACGUAUAGAGGAAUUAAUAGCGAGAGAUUAUUUGGAGAGGGACAAGAUGAAUCCUAAUAUGUUUAGGUACUUGGCUUAGGGAACAAAGCAUAUAUCUGGUAGUGUUAUCGUCUUGUUGUUUGCUUAAUUUUGCUUUCCUGUUUUUUUUUUUGUUUUAAACACGGUCAUGUUUUAUUCUUGGGAUGCAAUUGACCUUAUGGCGGUUUGUUUCUUGGAUAUGAUGGGAACUGGAGCUGGUUCUAAUAAAAAGUAGAUUUUUUUUCUGAGUCUUCAUUAGCUUUAAAAACUGUGUUCUAUGAUUCUUAAUCCUUUUGUUAAUAGAGUCACAACUGUAUGAUUUGGGUUCAGAAACUACAAUAAGCUACUUAUGGAGAUCUGAGUUUUUAUAGUAUUAUAAUAGAAUGAUACUAAAGCCCUUAAUUAAUAUACCAGAUAGAUUCACCUAUAUGUCCAAUAAGCGAGACCAUUCAUUCACGCUUACAUGGAGAUAGCAUCAAAGGGUGAAAUUCGCCAUGAUCAGGACAAUAUAUGAAACAGGACCCAAGAUGCCCCUGAAAGCUGCUUCGAUUCUCUCCAUGAGACGACUCCACAUUGCAUCUGAGUUGCUUAACAAUUUUUGUCCUUUUCUGUUGAUCUUCUUUGGGCAAGAGCCCAAUGCUUCGUUUUCAUUAAAUUUGUCACUUUCCUUAAAUUUGUUUGAUGGAAAAGCUUCGUUUCAUUAAAAAAAUGAUUUUAAGGAUAGGUCAAGCAAUAAAACUCGACAUGCCGUAGCGGGAGAGAGAGUGAGGCGACAAUAAAGGCGACUAGGGUUUCGUAGCUACUGUCUCCGCCGUCGGUGUGGCCUCACGUCCACCAACAAGAAUCUUCUUCUUCCUUCCUCCUCUUCCUUUCUGUCAUGGCUAUGUUGGUGAUUGCUCGGUUUUCAUCCUCGACGAUUCCGGUUCCAGAUCCAGAUCCGUUCUCUCAGAUCUCUACUUGUUGUGGCUCCACCUCCAGAACCGCCUGACCCAUCAGAUUUGUUCCUUUUUCUAUGUCCACUUUACAUCCUUGAAGCUUCAGCCUCCCCUCGAAAAUCUUGUUCUAGCUUAGACAGUUCAGUUCUUGUGUCUUCUGGAGUGCAGCAAUCUACUGCUUUGUUCAGUUCUCAAUCAUGUCCUAUUCUCGUGAAGAACCCAUGGUUACUUCUUUCUGGACCCUUCGCUCCUUGCAUCAAGCGUCCACAAGGUUUUAAUUAUCUCAAUACGAGUCUCCUUUUACCCUGGAACUAGGUGUGGGCUCGCACCUUGUGUGAGCUAAUAUAUAUUCUUAAUAUUUUUACUAUUAUAUUUAUUUUAUGCUAAUGUAUUUAAUUAGAUAUAAAUAUAUUUAUUGUGUGUUUUCGGUCUUUAUUAACCAAAUCUCAAUUGCUUAUUGUGUGGAAAUAUUUUUCUUAUUGUUUAUACGUGAUUUUUUUAUCUGGAAAUUGAAUCCCAAGUUUUUUUUAAAUAUUAAAGAGUCUACUUUCAAAAUUUUUAGUUUAAGUGUAAGUGCACUCAAUAUGAAGGAACAAAUCUUAAAUUUAGUAAGUACAGUUCUUGGCCAUGUAGAACUAUCCAGAGAACUUGAAUAAAACUCAAUAAUACAUAUCACUGUAAUUUUCAUGAUUGGUUUAAAGAAAUAUGAAACUUGGUUUGCAUACCAAGAAUGUGCAUGUUAAAUAUGUAUCACUAAAUAUUAAAAAUUUAAAUAAGCGUCAUAAAAACAAAACAAUAUUAAAUUAAACUCUGAAUAAAAUUUACAUUGUGUCAUGAAUAGUAAUUAAUUUUAACUUAGUUAAACAUUUUCAUGUUGCAAUGAUAUAUUUUAAGGUUCAACAUUCACAACUUCGCCAAUAAUAUCUAAACACACAAAACAUCAGAAAGGAGAACUUGUGAACAAACAUAUCAUAAAUUAAAUACAUCAACAAAAAAAAAUAUGAUAUAGAAAAUUCACCGACUAAACAUUCCUUUUCAUAUUGACGUCCCAAUAUUUCUUUAAAUUCCAUGAAAUAAUAAUUUUGAACUCUUUUGAAAAAUCAUCACAAGGUAUGAUUUUGGUUGUUCUAUAAAAAUUUAUCUUAAAAAUGAGAGGCGUUUUAUAUUUUAUGAUCUAAUCACCGGAAGCGAAAUUAUGCAGGAUAAAAAAAUCUCCUUGACAUAACUUAGAUCGGAAAUUACAAAAGACAAGUCGCCAAAAGAACAUUUAUCAAUAGAAGCAUGAGUCCCUAGUUGCCUAAAAAAUAAAUUUCAAAAUAAUUGACUAACACCAAAUCGUAUAAUUAAUGUGAAUCAAUAAUAAAAUAAAUUAAUAUUUACGAUGUAUAUCAACCAACACCAAUUCAGUUGAAAUUUUUUUUAAUUUUUUCAUUAUUCUAAAGUAUCAACACAUUUACUCUAAUUUUAUAGCAAUAUUUAGCCGACUCAGUAUCUCCAAUAAGAAAAAGUGAUACAUAUUUCUUUUUCCAAAAGACAAUGUUUGAAGUGUUUCAUAUUAUUUAAAGAUGAAAUUUUGUAAAUUUUGUGUGUAUUUCCCAUCUAACAUAUGAUGAGAAUAUGUACAUUCAUGGCAUAUUGUCGGCAAAUUAUAAUAAUAGAUUAUUAAAAUGGAUACUAAGAAAAAGUCGACAUCAUAAUUCUAUGUAUUAGCAUUUACAUACUACUAUAACUAUAAUACGACCUAGAGUAAGAUAAAUACCACUUACACAUUAUCUAUACUAUCAUUAAGCUAUAAACUAUAUUAAAAUAGAUUAUGUUCCACAUUUAGUAACGAAUAUGAUUUAAAAUUAUCCAGUAACAAAUAUGAUUUUAAAAUAGAAUAAUAAGAAUUGAUCAUAACUCGUCAAAGUUACAUUUUUAAUGAAUAUAUAUGUAUCUAAUUACAAAUCUUGAAAUAGUUGUAUUAUUUAAAUUAAUAACUCAGUUAAAAACUAAUAAUAAAUUAAUGAAUAGCUAAAACCUAAUAAAACAUGACAAAUUGGCAAAAUUAACUUAAAUCAAGGAGAACAUGACAAAUAAGAAAAAAUUUAAAAUAAUUAUAUAUCUAGUUACAAAAUGUAUAGUUAUAUCAUUAAAAUUAAUAAAUUAAUUACCUCAACUAAAAACUAAUAAUAAAUUAAUGACUAAGCUAAAACCUAAAUAAAAAUAUGACAAAUAAGCAAAAUCAAAAUAAUUUUAUAUCUAGUUACAUAUUUUGUAGUUGUAUUAUUUAAAUUAAUAAAUUAUUGGCUCAGCUAAAAACUAUUAAUAAAACUAUUUAUAAAUUAAUGACUCAGCUUAAACCUAAUUAAAACAUGACAAAUAAGCAAAAUUACUUAAAAUCAUGGAAAUCAUGGCAAAUAAGCUAAAUCACUUUAAAACUAUGUAUAGAUUAUGACUCAGUUUAUACCUAAUUAAAACAUGACAAAUAAACAAAAUUACCUAAAAUCAUGGAAAUCAUGACAAAUAGGCUAAAUCACUUCAUAAAUAAUAGUAUAGAUGAGGAUGAUGUGACCUCUUUGAACCUCUUUUUACCUCAGUUUGAGGAUGUUGCAGGCUCUGUGAGUUUCACUAUGAAACUCUAUUUACUUCAGUAUGAGGAUAUUAGAGCACCACCAUCGGUGAAGUUCUAAAAGUCAGUAUACAAACCAUUAAAUAAUAAUAUUAUAACAUAAUAAAAAUUUCUGAUUAAAAUUAAUUUUGUUGGUAAAUGAUAAGCCAAUAAUAUCAUGACACAUAGCAACACAAAUUUUAGAACCGUUCCUAAAAGUACUAUGUACAGAGCCUCUCUUAACCUUCUCUCUCCUUCUGUUAUUAUUUUAAUAUUUAAUUUUUUUUAGAACCUUGUAUAAAAGCAACCGAUGGACGUGCUCUUACAAACCAAAAUGUUCCGACACAAUUCCAUACUUAUGAUCCUAAAACCAAAGAAAAUCUCGACUUCCAGACAAUCAAAUCUCUACAUUCAUUAGUAAUGGCAUGGGAUUCUUAAUACAAGUGCUACUUGGGUAUACGACGCUUGGAAUUAGGGAGGCUAAUUUGAUGGUGAAGCUAAGAGUUUUUAGGGAUGACCGAUACAUUCGGCGUGAUCGAUCGAUCUGAUGUUUUUUUCCGAUCGAUCUGAUGUUGGUCGACAGAUUUUUGUUGACUUGCUCUUUCACCUUUUGGUCCGCAAAUAUUAUUGAUGAGAAACAUCCCACAUCGGAUAUAUAAGAAUUAAUCUACUACUAUAUAAAGGGUUAGGGCCAAUCCACUAAUUGCCAAUUGGUUUUAAGUUGGAAGCCCAUAAUUAACCAGAUUCUAACAUGGUAUCAGAGCGAUAAGAUCCUUUGACCUAAUUUACUACAACUACUACUACUAUACCGAUGUUGGGCCCUCUGUGGAUGUUAUUCCCAUAUUGUCCACGCUUCAGACCUAGAAGUCUGAGCGUGAGGGAGGGUAUUGAUGAGAAACAUCCCACAUCGGAUAUAUAAGAAUUAAUCUACUACUAUAUAAAGGGUUAGGGCCAAUCCACUAAUUGCCAAUUGGUUUUGAGUUGGAAGCCCAUAAUAAACCUGAAUCUAACAAAUAUCUUAAUGAAAGUGAUCGACCAAUCCAGAAGGAGGUCGGCCGAUCCAAAAGGAGGUUGGCCGAUCCUGACUCAGAUGCCAUUUUUGCUUUAGUUUCUCCAGUUCUUGCUUCUUUGGCCCAAAAUACCAAGAAAACUUGAAAAACACUUGAAAACAUGAGUUAAAUUGCGUUGAAAAACGCAACAUAUUAUUUAUCAUCAUCUAAUCCCUUUAAAGCUAUUUGCUGUCAGCAAUUUGAAAUUAGAAAGAAAGUAGCAUCACCUUGCGAAAUUUCUCCCCAAUCAUGACUAAAGCUGACGGCUGCAUGAAUAGAUCGAUAUAGAUGUAUCACUGUCUCCUUAACUGUCAUUGUGAUAACACUCCAUAAGUAUACUGUUUAUAAGCAAAAAUAUUUUACAUAUGCACACAUUACGUUUUUAAGGAUAUACUCAUCCAAUUCAGGAUCUCUGAUGCUAAGAAAAACAUGGUGCAUCAAAUUUAUAAUAACAUUGUUAAUUUUUUAUGUAUAUUCCGAAAUGAACAAAAAUAUUAUAAUUGAAUAAUCCGAAUCUUCGAAGUUAGAGCAUAGAAUAGAAGAUGCUUUUUUGACGACUUUUUCAAUGGUAUUUUAUUUCACUGCGACAAUAUGAUUGGUGUUAUUAAUGCACAUCUUCGUACUAUAUAGUGUUUUUGCUAUUCAUUGAAAAUACACCCUCAACUUUUCCAAAGUAACUUUAAUUUAUGAGUGUUCACAUGUUACUAAUUUAACUAGUCGUUCAUUUCCACAUGAUUAGUCGUUUUUACUAGUCACAACAUGCAGUUUUUUGUGAAGAUGUGAAAUCAAUUGCAGAAAAUCUAGACAUAAAAACAUCGUGGAGCCUAUGAGACCAAACAUUUAGUACCCGAACCCACAUGGACUAACAUGUAAAAUCUCCCUUUGCAAUUUAUUAGAAUGGUCAAGUUCUUUAAUAAUCUUGUAUAUUUAAAACACAGACGCCAACACACUUAAAUUUUUAUUUAACUUAUGUUCACAUCUCUUCAGUUAUGUGCAUUAUUGAUGUAAAGGUAUGUGUAUUAUUUUAAGAAAACAAUAUAAAUAAAGUUUUCUUUUAAUAUAUGUGGUAGCAAGAUCUUUAGUGACUUAUGAGUGUAUGAUCCACACAUAUCAUUCUCUUAUCAAUGCGAAUUUCUUGUCAGAUGAUAUCAGCUAGAGUAAAUGAAAAUUUUGGUAAUAUAACAAACUUGAGGAUACUUAGAACUUUACAUAAUAGUAAGUGAGAAGUGCUUGAAUAAAUCACAUUUCUUUCGUUAUAAAUUACAAUUAAUGUCUUAACUUUGCAAGUCUUUUUACUAAACAUGUCAUUAAAAUAUACUGUAUAAAUAUAUUCAAUCCAUUUCACAACGAGUUACUUUGACACACUUUACGUGAUUUAGAAAACUGUAAAAUAUACUUGUAUGCCUUUAUUUAAUAUAUAUAACUAAUUAAAUGAAAAUAAUUUAAAUAAAAUUUUAUUAGUUAUUUAAAAGACAAAAAUGUUUAAAAUAAUAUUAGAAUGUAGAAUAAAAAAUUUUGAAACAAAAUAUUUGAUAUUUUUGUGAAACAAAUGACGUAGGGAUUUUAAUUUUCCGAAAAUGAAAACGAUAUAAUAUGUCCACUUAAAUAAUUAUAUUUUCGAGUGUUACAUACUUGUCGGAUUUUUAUCGAUAAUGUUAUUGGAGAACAAGAGAUCUAAAGUUUGAUUUAUGGACCCUGAAGGCAGCAUGUAGCAUGAGACAUGGAUGUGACACGUGUUAUAGCCGAUUGUUAUGAGAUUUCUUUAUUAACUAGGUUAAGAGCGGGAUGAACAUUAUAUAUAUAUUAUUUUAUAUAUUAUAUGUUUAUAACAUAUUAUGAAAUAAUAAAUAUAUAUUAAAUAAUUAAAAAGUCAUUAUAUACUACUUAUAUAAUUAAAUUGGUGCGAACAUAUAAAUAAAUUUUAUAAAUCGAAAAAAUAUUUUUUCUAUUUGAUAUGAUAUAUAAUUAAAUUUAAAUGAUAGUAACAUAUAUAUGGUAUAAUUUUAAUAUUAAUAUUUGUUAGAUGAUGUUUUUUGCUCAUAUUUUUUUAUCAUUUUUAUCUGUUAUAGCAAAAAGUCUAACUUAGUGAUAACAAAAUUUUCACAGUGGAAUUAAUGGUUUAAGUAAUUUAUAAUAUUUUUAAAAAUUAAGUUGUCAAUAUUUUUUCAAAUUUUUUAUCAAAAAAAUGUUCAAAGUAAAUUUCAAAAUUAAGAUAUUUAUGUAUUUUUAUAUGGCAUAUAGUUUAAUUUAAAAUAAUACAUAUAUUUAUAUAUCUUUUAUUUUUGAUACUUAUUAAAUGAGACUUUCAACUUAUAUUAUUUUUUAAUUAUUUGUAUCAUAUCAUUACAAAAGUUUUAAAUCAUAGAUCACAAAAUUUGAAUGUGAAACUUUGAAUAGUUUUAGUAAUUUAUACUCGUUUAUAAAAAUUCAAAAUAUAAUAUAUAAAUAAUCUUUUUAAUUUUUAUUAUAUAGUUACUAUGAUUGUUUAAUUUAUUUUAAUAGCUUAAAAUUAAACAAAUAUAAUUAUAAUACACACUUAUUUUUAUCAAAUCUUUAUUAUUCAAAAUCAUUAAUUGUCAUAUAUACUUUAGCCACAUUAGGCAAUUUCGUAAUCUUAUUUAAGGAAAUAAUGAAGCACAUUAAUAAUGUAUUUAUUGUGGUUUAAUAAAAAGCUUAUUAUAUAUUUAGAUGGACCAACCUAUUUCUUUAAGGAUUCUAAGAAUCAUUCUAGUGAUGACACGUGGCUACAAAAAAAUGUUGCAAUGCUUCUCAAAUAAUAUAUAGGGGAUUACACAACCAAAACCAAUAAUAGACCAAUCCAUCUCAAUUCUUAAAUUUAUAUGAAUGCUACAUUAUAUAUAAACAACUAGUAUCACUUCUUGAUCAAAAAAAAAAAAAACUAGUAUCACUUCAAAAUCAGACUUUAGUUAAAUAAAUAACUAUUUUAGUCAAACUGUAACUGUAUAGGGUACGAAAUAUUAAAAUAAUUGGUUUAAUAUUAAUACUAAAAUAUGUAUCCGACUUCAAUAUAAGUCCAGCUUAGUUAACAGUUUUCUUGAUUAGUUAGUUAGUUGAGCUGAUUUUCUUUUAAGCAUAAUAAGAAAAACAACUGAGUCUCUUUUCUGCAAUUAAUUUGGUUGUCGCACCUUUUUUAAAGUUGAUUUUUGUUUUAUAUAUUCGCUAAUUUUUUUACAUCUAUUUAUUCUUUUCUUAAAAUAUCAAUACACAAUAUUCUGAAUGUGAAAUGAAGCUACUGUAUAUGGCUUGGCAGCAAUGAAUGUUUCACAUGAGUGUCACAUAUUGUGGUGCUUCCGUCUAAAAAUUCUUUAUAUAUUAAUUGAGAAUCAUUACAACUUUGUUUGGUAGAUACGUAUCUUCAUUCAUUGCGAUGAUUUUUAAAAUCUUAAAAAAAUAGGUUAGUACAUCUAAACAUAUAUUAUACUUUUAUUAAAGUAACUAUUAUAUUGCUUAGUGGUGUACAAAAUAAUAGUUUCAAUUAUUUCCUUAAAUAAAUGCUAAUUACCUAAUAUGAUUAACAUACAUAUGACAAUUAAUAAUUAUGAAUAAUAAAAAUUUGAUAAAAAUUCAUAUAUGAUAUAUUUGAAAUUUUUAAAACGGCUAUAAAUUACUCAAAAUGUGAAAAUUCCACUUUGAAAAUUUUGUAAUCAACAGUUUAAUUUAUUAUUUUUAUAGCAAGAUACAAGUGAUCAUCAAAUCAUACGAAUAUGAAGUCUCAUUUAAUAGAUAUUCAUAUUAAAUAUAUAUAUAUAUAAUAUUUUUAAAUUAAACUAUGACCAUAUAAAAGUACAUAAAUAUGUUAAUUUUAAAAUUUUGUUUUGAAAAAAUAUCACAUUGAUUUUUUUUUGAUAAAUGGUUAAAUUUUUUGUUACAGAAAAUAUACAAAUAUUAAUAAAAUCAUAUGAGUAGGAUGUCUCAAUAAUAAAUAUUUAUAUUAAAAUAUACUAUAUAUCUAUGUAAAUAUUAUUGAAAUUUAAUUCUAUACCAUACAAAAUAAAUAAAACGAUUAUCUUGAUUUGUUUACCAAAAAAUAUUAUAAAUAAACAAGAGGUAUUUUGAUGUAUGUGCUUACUUUAAUUUAAUUGCAUAAAAUGUAAACAUAAUGUUCAUCUCGUGCAAAGCGCAUGUCUUAACCUAAUAUGUAUAUAAAAAAGGAAAAUUUGCUCCUUACACAAAAAAAAACUCAAAUUCAUUAUCUAACAUAUAUCAGACUCUCUCUUCUCUUUUCUCUUCUUAUCUCUCUCUACGCUCUCUCUACAAAACAAAUUUCUCUUUUUCCGUUAUCUCACAAAUAAGCCCACAAAAAUUAGUUUGAAAAGGUAAGAUUAACAUUUUUCUCUUUAUCCUAUUUUUUAUAUAAUUUUGAUGAAACUUGAAAGCUUCCAUAAGUUCUUCCCCAUAUUCAAUUUCACCAUCAACCGAGAGAGUGCAAUGGCAAGAAAGCUAGAUUAGUUCAGAAUGGAUGUGGUUGACUUAUUUGUUUAUUUGAUAAAAAUGUAAUUUUUGAAAAAAAUGUAGUUAAGGUGUUAUAAGAGCAUCUCCAAUGGUUUAUCUCAUUUUUCCCUUCAAAAUGAUGUACCAUUGUAAAGGUUUUUUCUCAUUUUUUUGAUGUUUCCCUUCCAAAUGAAGGACUAUUGGAGAUGGUCUAAUAUGCGAGUAAAGAAUUGUGAAACGCAUGUGAAAUUUGUCCCUUAGUAAAAAUAAAUAAAAUACGUAGAAGCAAAGAAAUAUCUGAAUUCUCAAAAAUUUCACCUUGUAAGUAUCCAUAGCAAGAAUAUGAACUUGAAAACCCGAAAAUAAGAUACAGCUCAGGUGGACACGUAGAGAAGCAGGAAAAUAGAGGUGUUAAACGCUUGCACAAAAAAUCGGAAAUUGUUUUAUCUGGGUGCAAGAAGAAAGAACCAUCCUCAAUAGACAUGUGACGCUCAAUCGAAGAUUGCCCUCAAAGUCUAAGACACGACGCCCAGCCAACGACACCAAAUCCAUAAGUAGCGCCAAAACAACAACAACUAACAAAUAUUAAUAGUAGGAACUCACUCACAAGCCGAGCAAUAUCACCACUCAAAGACUACAAUGUAAUGGUGUUCAUAGCAGGAUCUCGCUGACUGAGUCGAAGCCCAUCUCCACUCUGAAGCCAUUGAGUAACAAAUCUUAACAGCAGAAACUCAGUUAUUAAACUUAGCUGCAUCACCACUCCAAGACUACUAGCUAACAGUGAUUAACAGUAGGAAUUUGCUGACAUUGUCGAAUCGCAUCACCAAUCUGAAUGCCAUUUAGUAAUUUUCUAUAGCCACGGCAUGGCCACCGCAAAAUCGUUGCUAUGUAGAAAAAAGCCACUAUUCUCAGUACUGGCUAAACUAUGGAUAUAGCUUCGUGGCUAAAAACAAUUGUUUAAUCGUGGCUUUUUAACCACGGUUUUUCACUAUACUUUUGUGGCUAUUUUAGCCACAUUUUUUCCACAGGCUAAUUGGUUACCUAUAGCCACUAUUUACUCACAGUUUUGUCAUGGCCAUUUAAGAAGAAAAUCAAUAAUUAUUUAUAGAAAUAAAUAUAAAUUAAUUUUAAAUCUGUAUAAUAUACUUAUACAUAUAUUCAUAAUCAGUUAAAUAUAAUCAUGUAAUAUACAAAUAUACAAAUAAAAAUAUACAAAUACAUAAUUAAAAAAUACAAAAAAAAAGUUGUCAGUGACAUCCCGAUGGAAUCACCGGCGCUCAAACAGAGAAGGCAACAGAAGCACCGCCACUCCAUACAUCCUGAAGAUGUAUAUUAUGUAUCAGCUCGUGAAGUACUACAUGAGGUAGUACAUUUGUAUGUCAUAAAGAUGGGCUGAGUUGGAAUUUAUAUUUUGUGAUGUCUGUGAGCUUGUUAAGCUUGGAAAAGAGAUAAUAUAUUUAUUGGAAGUCUACAUUAAGUGUAAAUAAUAUUACUUGAAGAUAAGAAGAAAUAGAGUUAUUCCUUAAGAAAAAAAAGUUGCUUAAGUUGCAUUUUGAAGAACUCUGGGAACAACUUAUGUUUAUGUAUAAAAAGGAGGAUAUGCUUCUAUGAAGAACAUUAUCUCUGCAAAAUAAGAAAAUCGAGAUAUGUUUGUUUGGUGCUUGUGUGAUCAAGCAUUUGGGGUUAGUGUUGUUCUUUUGGUCGCGAAGCACUUUUUUAUGAAUUUCCAGAGUGUUGAAAGAUUGAAAUCUAGAUUUAGGGGGAAUUAUGCUCAGGGUUAGGGUUUUGUUAAAUCAAAAACUGGACUCUAUAGUGAAUUUUACUUUAGGAUUGGAUUAUCCUAAUAAAUCAUUGUAAUAAAAAGGAUGGUAUUUCAGGAGGUUGUACCUGAUUUAUGCAUUAGCAUAUUGGUGUAUUUUGCUUUCUUUGUUAAUUCAGAAAGAAAAACUUGUGUCAAUUACUUUCUGCUGUUUAUUUUCUAGUUUCAUAUGCCCUUACAAUUGGUAUUAGAGAAUGUCACCUAAGUUACUAGUAAAAUCACGAAGGGUAAGGAGAGAAACUGGUCCGGCCAGUUUUAUUAGCAUAUGCACGAAUUUCCCAAUACUUGAUACAAAUUUGGUAAAAUUUUCUAUAGACUGAGAGUAAUUAGUCAGACCAUAAUAUGAAUUCUAGUGCUAUGAAAAUUUUAAAUGAAAUGAAAAGUCAUGUCAUCACAUGGUAUUUGCUUUAUUGUGACAUCGCACAUGAUGGGCCACAAUGUUAGAUCAACAUGAAACACUUAUCUUAAAACCCCUUGACGUUCAUCAACCCAUCUCUGGGAACUCUUCGUUUUAUUUAUUUAAUAACUAUUCGAAAUCUCCUUCAAUUAUUCAACACAUUUUAAAUAUUACAACCUUUUUAGGACCCCACUUACUUAUUUAUUUAUCAUAUAUAGGAAGCUAUAUUAGUAUAAGAACUAACAAUCUCGAACUAACAUUCAUAUAAUAUUUUCGUAUAUAAUUUCAUUGUAAAAUUUAUAACGACGACUAAAAGCAUUUCCAAUUUCAUUUCAAUUUUCAUUUCCAUUUUACAAUGGAAUAAAAACAAGUUUACUCCGAAAUAGACUAAUCAUACACAUUACUAAAUUUUUAUACCUAAAUAAGUGGAAUUAAUUAGAAUAAUGUGUAUUUUAAUUUGAAAUUACUCAGUUUUAGAGAACAAAUAGAGUAAUACAGUGUAGAUGCUCUAAACAUUUGCAAUUAGUAAUUUUUGAUAUAAUAUAAGAGUUAUUCUUGAUUUCACCUCCAUAGGAUGAACUUUUAGCCUUUAAGUUUACCAACCAAUAAAAUUUCGUUCUUUUAUAUUCGAUAUUUAAAAAAAAAACAAAAUAUUUUCAAGUUAUAUUAUGUUCUUAAAAUAAAAAAGUAAAAAAUAAUAAUAAUAAUAAUAAUAAUAGUUAAAAAAAGAAUUGGAAAAAAUAUAUUUUUAACGUCUUCAGCAAAACACUAAACCCUAAAUUCUAAAUUCUAAACCCUAAAUUCUAAACUUUAAACUCUUGGGUAAACUCUAAACCCUUGGAUAAAUUCUAAACCCUAAACCCUAAACACUAAAACAGUCAAGGGUUUGGGAUUCAAGAUUUAGGGUUUAGUGUUUUAGUGUUUAGAGUUUAGGUUUAUCCAAGGGUUUAGAAUUUACCCAAGGAUUUAGGGAUUAUGAUCUAAGGUUUAUGGUUUAGUGUUUUGAUGAUGACGUUAAAAAAAAUUAAAUUUUUUUUGCUUUUUGUAACUAAUACUAUUUUUUAUUUUUUUUAUUUUAAAAACAUAUUAUAACUUUACAAUAUUUUGUUUCAUUUUUUAAAAGAUAUCGAAUAUGAAAUAAUAAAAUUGUAUUGGUUGGUAAACCUAAAAGUUCACCCUAGAGUGUGAACCCAAGAAUAAGUCAUAAUAUAACCACUGAAUAUAUCAAAUUAUGGGUUUGAUUAGUAUUAAAUAGUUAUCAGUUGAAAAAAGAUAGCAACUAAUAACAAGAGAACUAAUUUUCAGAACGUAUAUAUAUCAUCUAACUUAGAUGAUCUAAGACAGACUAUGAGUAUGAGAUGAUUGAAAUGUAGUGGAAAAACUUCGACACUGUCGUUGGUACUAAGAUCCGUUAAAGUGGACUUGAUGCGAAAUAAAAACGUAAGGCUCGGAAAUAUGUGAUUAUAGAAAAAGAAACAAAAAUGAUUUUGAGAUUUGUGGUUUAAGUGGCAUUGAAACAUAUCGCUUUCUUCCCUCGUGACAUCAUUGUCGAGGUUUAUUGCUCUUUCUUGUGGUCCUUUGGGACUAUUUAAAUCUCUCUUAUCACAGUCUCAGUUUUUAAGUGUGUAUUCAAAGACCCCAAAACACUCCCUCUUAUAUUCAUCCUCCUCUCUUUUUUUCUUCUUAGUCUUUUCUUUUCAACUUUAAACCUUAUCAAAUCAUAAAGGCUAUAUACCUACUUGCCACAUAUAUAGCUCAUUUCUCAAUUUCUUAAACUAUUCUACAAUCCAGUCAGAGUAUAUAAACAAACAACUAAAGAGUGGUUUUGCUACAUUGUUGAAUAUGUCAAACAGAAGAUCAAGGCAGUCUUCAAGUGCUCCCAGGAUCUCCGAUGAUCAAAUCAUCGACCUUGUAACUAAGCUCCGUGAGAUUUUGCCGGAGAUUGGCCAACGUCGUCGUUCCGAUAAGGUAUCACACACAUAGAUUAUAUAUACGUAAACAUAUUCACUUUUUUGUGGUCAAGAAUAUUUCAUUUUUUGGGUUAAAAGAUAGAGAAAUAUAUUCAUUUAUUAAGACCAUUUAACAUUAUCCCUCAUGUAAACCUCUUUUAUCGAAAAAACGUUUUAUUUAAAGAAUACAUGACACAAAAAUCAAACAAAAGAAAAAAAGAAGUCGGAACUUUUUGACUCCGGGCAUCAAAGAACAUAACAAUACUCGCAAGAUUUUCCUUCCACAAAGACAUACAUUUUCCAUCAAAACCAUCGACAUUAUCUACAUAUACAAAACAUGCAUGGAUGUAGAUAUAUAUACAUUAGUGCCGGCCCUGAAUAUUUUCAGACCGGAAGCAAUAAAAGAAAACAAGGUCUAUUAGGCUCUUAAUAAUUCACCUUUAAUAAAAAGGAAUAUGUAAAAAAUAUAUAUAUAUUAGAGAAAUUCUAGUGUAGAACAUCGAACUCUGCACCUCCGUCUCUACUUAUAGCUUUCAAAAACCGUGGUUAAAAAGGAUAUUUACAAAUCUGUGGCCAAUUAUUUACUUAAAUCAAUCGAGGCCGGAAGGCUAAGCUUCCAUAGCUUCGCUCAGGCCGUUUCUGUUAGUCAUGACACUUUUUGAUUAAUUAUAUAAUAGGUGUCAGCCUCCAAAGUUUUGCAAGAGACAUGCAACUACAUACGAAACUUGAACAGAGAAGUUGACAACCUCAGCGAGCGUUUGGCUCAGCUUCUCGAAUCUGUCGAUGAAGAUAGCCCUCAAGCGGCCGUCAUAAGAAGUCUACUCAUGUAAUCUGUUAUGAGUUUCCAUAUAAUAUAUGUAAGCUAAUCUUCCUUUAUUUUAUGAACUUUUAAAGAAAUGAGAAUGAUCUUUAGACCUAGAAGCAGAACCGUUUUGACUUAUGUUUCCUUACCCGCCAUUUUGGCUACAUUAUAGGGAAAUGGUACUACAUUUCGUUAAUAAUAUAAACAUAAAAUGUUACAAUUAAAAAAAAUGAAGUACAAAGACUGAACAAAAUUUAAGCCGCACACCAUUUCUGUUUGGAUUGGACAUUUUAUUCUUAUGUCAAACUAAAGCCUUGGCCUCACCAAAUAACCGGAUAAAACUGAGGCUGUUUCUUACUAUUUUGUCGAUAGACUUUGUGUGUUUCAAUAUCUUCCGUUCUCUCCAAAUGAUUUGGACUGUAGUUUGAAAAACAUACUUCAUUCUGAAAAGUGUUUUUUCAAUCCAAUGUUCUGGAUAUCAGAUGAGUGAGACUAUCCUGUUGGAACUGUUUUUUGGACAAAUGGCUAUGGCCAAUAUUCCGGUGAUUUUUUCGAACAAUUUGAUUGUCGAAAUGACCGGAUUGUGGAAUCGUUGAAUUCAUUGUUAUGAGCACUAUAAUAUAGUGUAAUCAUAUGUCAAAAACGAAGUUCGUUUGAAUGAGAAAUGAAAGUCUAAAAUAGAUUAUUUGUAAAAUAUCUAUAUUAGAAUUAUGAGGUAAAAAACCUCUUGUGUAUAAAUGGAGAAACUAAAACAAAGGUAUAAAAACUUUGUAGACACUUUGGUGUACAAAUAUAAACAAAUUGAUUAAAUACUCAUAUACACACAGUGAUAUUUUUGGGUUUUAGAAUUUGUUAAUUUAAAAUUUUUAAUUAUGUUCUACGCAAAGUAGAUAUUAUCUUCUACGAGAAAUGGCAUGGUCAAAACUGAAUUCCAGACUAAACAAAUUAUUUUACUUUCGCUAGAAUCAAUAAUCACAUAAGGAAUGCAAAGUUACACAUUUUAAAGGUAGCUAGAUUUAUUCUGAAUGCAGUUUCUACUUUAAUGAGAAAAAAUGAUAAGAUCCGCGUCUUGCGCGAGAUAAACAUUAUAUAUACUAUUUUUUAUGUAUUAUAUGUUCUUUUACAUGUUUUGAUAAUAUAUAUAUAUAUAUAUAUAUAUAUUGAAUCAUAAAAAUUCAGUAACUAUUACAUAUAUAAUUAAAUUAGUUGUGAACAUAUAAAUAAAUUUCAUUAAUCCAAACAAUCAUUUUUCUAUUUUAUAUGGUAUAUAAUUAUAUUUAAAUGACAUUAACAUAUAUAUGAAAUUUUAAUAUUGAUAUAUAUUAAAUGAUGCUUUCUACUCAUAUAGUUUUUGAUAAUUUAUAUAUUUUUAUAAAAGAACUUUAGUUCACUGAGAACAAAAUUUUCAUUGUGUGAUUAAUAGUUAUAGUAAUUUAUAUUUUUUAAAAAAAUUCAAGGCUAAGUUUAAAAUUUAAAUAUUAAAUUGUCAAUAUUUUUUUCAAAGCUGUUAUCAAAAAAAAAUUUGUUCAAACCAAAUUUUGUAAUUAAAAUAUUUAUGUAUUUUAUAUGGUAUAUAUUAUAAUUUAAACGAUAUAAAUAUAUAUAUAUAUAUAUAUAUCUUUUACACUUAAUGUUUAUUAAAUGAGACUUUUUAUUUAUAUGAUUUUGUAAUCAUUUGUAUUUUAUCAUAGCAAAAAUAUAACUUUUUUACUAUAUGGUUACUAUAUGGUUAAAAAUAACCAUAUUUCCAAAAAAAUUAGUUACAAAAUAUUCUAAAAAUAUUUUGAAAUCUUAUUACUUUCCUAAAACGUGUACCUACAAUUUUCUUGUCAAAAAUCAAAAACAUUGUAGUUAAGCAUUUUUUUCUUCAUCAAAACAUGAUUUCUCCAUUGUUUUUUUGUGAUUUUGACCAACUCUUCUUCUAUGAUGAUUAUAUAUACGACAUGUGGGGCUUUUAAGGCUUUUGUUGGUUUAAUUUCUUUUAUAUCAAAAUUUAUUUUAUUUAUGUUUAUCCCUAAUACGUUUUUAAUUUAUAAACUACUUUUAAAUUGUAUUUUAUUUGAUAAAUCAUUGAUUAUUUUGGGAUUAUGAGAAAAUCUAUACUAUAGGCCAAACUAAGGUUAUAGGGACAAAAAGUGUGUUUUCAUUCUAUUUUGGCACGAUUUCCUUAGUUAUAUAAUGAAUUUUGUAAAACAUAUCAGCAUCAUCCGGUCAACUUCGGAAAGAACGUAUUUAGUGCUACGGAGUGGACUGGCUACCACACACAGUAAAAAUUUGAAAUAUUACGUCUAGUGAAUGUUCGAAAUGUUACAUACAGUGAAAAUUUUGGAAGUUACAUUCAGUGAAAAUUCAGAUUUUUACAUUUAGGAAAAAAUUGAAUAUUUCACAUUUUGUUAUUUAUUAAACAUUAAAUAGGAAAAAUGGAAAUGUGUUACGUUUAUGGUGUUUUAUUGAUUGUUUAUCACUCAUAUACCUUUAGAUAUGCACACUAUUACAUUAUUUCCCCAUCAGAUCAGCCGUCACGAUUUGGCAAUCUCUCUUCCAAUCAGAGGAUAAAGAGAAGCGUGGAAGUGUUGUGUACUGAACCAAGAACGUUCGAUCAGACCAUUAAGCACCAAAAGUUAUAAACAUUAGAUGUAAGGGUGAGUGUUCGGAUACCCAUUUGGGUACGGUUCGGGUCUAUUCGGUUUCGGGUUAAGGAUUUCAGUUCCAUUCGAGUAUUUUUAAAUUUUGGUUCGAGUUCGGUUCGGAUCUUUACGUGUUCGGAUAACCCAUUUAAAUUAUUUUUAAAAUUUUAAAAUUCAUUAUAAACUUUAAAUUUUCGCAAACUCUAUAAAAAUAAUAUAUUUCAUAUAAAUUUAAAUAACAUAUGUCAAAAUACCUAAACUUAACAUAUAAUGUGGUUUGGUUUGAAUAUUUUGGAUAUAAAUCAAUAGAUAUUUCAAGUAUUUUUGGUGUUUUGAGUAUUUUUAACCUAUUAAGGCAUUUAUUUUUGACUAUAGGUAUAUAAUUUCAAGUAUUUGGAAUCUUAUAUAUUUUGAAUGUUUUUAAAUAAUAUAUUAAAUGUAAAAAUAAUUAAUAUGUUUAGGUAUAUAAAAUCUUUUUUGGAUAUAUUCAAGUACUCAAAAUACUUUGGUUCGGGUCGGAUUCGGUUUCGGUUUUUUAGAUACCAAAAUUUUGAACCCACUCGAAUAUUUAGUUAAUUUCGGUUCGGAUUCGGUACAAUUUUUUUGGAUCGGAUUCGUUUCGGUUAUUCGGAUUCGGGUUUUUUCGUCCAGCCCUAAUUAGACGAGUGAAUUCUGUCUUAAACAAUUACGCAAGGCAAGACCAACGACAUCAUUAAGAUCGGUCCACAGCCCCGUUUAGGUAAACCAGUGACUAGACUACUCAUUACUCAUUAGUAACUGGUUUACCUAAACCGGAUGUGGUUAGGUAAACCAGUGACUAGACUAUCCGACUGUAAUUUGCAACUAAGCUAAAACAAAAUAUGCACACUGCAAGUCUGCCACUAUCCCAGAGAUGUACAAUAGUAAUUUUUCCAUUGCUGCAUCGGUUGAGUUUGUCAUAACAACAACUAUUGGUUUAUUUGGUUAUAGAAAUUGUAAGAAUAAAAAAAAAACUUCUGAACGGUUUUAUAAUUUUCCAAAAAGAAAAAUCUUGAAUUGCAUAAAUAAACUAGUACCAUAUGAUUUCAGUCUUUUUGUCUUCUAAGAGACUUUGAGUAUUUGUUGAAAAGCCUCAUGUGGUAUAUCAACAGAACCAACUCUCUUCAUCCUUUUCUUCCCUUCUUUCUGCUUCUCAAGAAGCUUCUUCUUCCUAGUUAUGUCUCCUCCAUAACAUUUCGCAAGCACAUUCUUCCUCAUCGCAGAGAUAGUGUCUCUCGCAAUGAUCUUUGAACCUAUAGCAGCUUGUAUCAUCACUUCAAACAUCUGCCUCUCUAUGAAGUUCUUAAGCUUCUCAACAAGCUCUUUCCCCACACGGUAAGCUUUCUGGUUGUGAACAAUAGUAGCUAACGCAUCAACUGCUUGACCGUUCAAGAGGAUGUCAAGCUUCACAAGAUCAGAUUUCUGAUACUCUGCAUCCUCGUAGUCGAAAGAAGCGUAACCUGAUGUUAUGCUUUUCAACUCAUCGUAGAAAUCAACAACUAUCUCCCUCAAAGGUAGCUGGUACUUCAAGAAAACACGUUGCGCGUCUAUAAAUGUGUACUCUAGCUGCUGGCCUCUUCGGUCAGAGCAGAGGUUGAUCACAGCUCCUACGUACUCACUAGGAAGGAUGAUUGUGGCGAUCACCGUUGGCUCCCAAGAAGCUGUGACUCUGUAUUUGGGGUUUGAAGGUAAUGCAGCAGGAUUCUGCACUUGCAACUUGCUCCCAUCUGAGUAUUCGAAGGUGUAAGGAACGGUAGGGAUCGUGGAGAUCACUUGUGUACCGUACUCUUGUUCAAGCCGCUGAUGAAAUACAUCCAUGUGAAGCAAACCGAGGAAGCCACAUCUGAAUCCCAUCCCAAGAGCUGCGCUUGUUUCCUUAGCCACCGAGACACUUGCAUCGUUACACGUCAGUUUCUCUAUUGCAUGAGUAAGUGCUUCAAAAUCAGAUCCAUCAGCAGGAUACACGCCUGAGAACACCAUAUGCCUCACCGGCUUGAAACCUACAUUCCACCCAUAAGCUCAUCAAUAUUCUCAAUUCUCAGUUCCAAGACUAGCAUAGGAGAGACACAAGUACCUGGAAGAGGCUCCACAGUGGUUUUUGUUCUGUAGAUUGUGUCACCAAUACGUGCCUCUUUCGUAGUCCGCAUGCCGGUUACUAUAUAACCAACCUGUCCCGUGAGAAGCAUUCCCGUAGAGGUAAGCUCAGGGUGCAUGAUCCCUACAUCUAACACUUCAUAAGACUGGCCAGUGGCAGCGAACGAGACCUUAUCUCCUUUCCUCAGCAUUCCAUCAACGACAGAGACAUAGCAGACGACACCUUUGUACUCAUUAAAAAAGGAAUCGAACAAAAGCAUCCGUAGAGGAGAGUCACUGAUCCCAGGAGGAGGAGGUAUCCGUUCUAUAACCGCGGGAAGCACAUGCUCGAGCCCCAAGCCGGUUUUGGCAGAGACUAGAAGAACCUCAUCCGUGUCGAGAUCAAACAUGGACUUCAACUGAGCUUUGACACGGUCAGGAUCAGCCGUUGGUUGAUCGAUCUUGUUGAUAACAGGUACAAUAGUGAGGUUAGCUUCAAAAGCUAAGUAAAAGUUAGCCACUGUUUGCGCUUGAACACCUUGAGCCGCAUCGACGACCAAGAGAGCUCCUUGACAAGCGGAUAAAGAUCUAGAAACCUCAUAGCUAAAGUCAACAUGGCCUGGUGUAUCAAUCAGGUUCAGAAGAAAACCGCUGGCUUCUUCAUCUUUAACUUUGUUUUCAUAGAACAUUGUCGCUGUUUGAGCUUUCACAGUGAUUCCUCUCUCCCUCUCUACCUAAAACAAACAUCCACAACUACUUCAUUUUAUGAAACAUUUUCUUCUAGAGCCUAACUGUACGAAAAAGACCAGGUUCUUAACUCAUGAUUUGAUUUUUUUGUUUCUUUUUUUUUUUUACAUUUUUUGAACUGGGGUUCUUAUAUAAGAGACUAUUCUUAGUUUUUCUUAGUUAAAAUAAAAAAAAAAAGUUAAAAACCAUUUCUUAACCGAAACUAAGAAGCUAACCUCACUCUCGUACCUGCAAUUUAUCGAGAUAUUGAGGCUGGCCAUGGCCUUUCUUGAUGGUGCCAGUAAGUUCCAUGAGACGAUCGGCCAAAGUAGAUUUGCCAUGAUCGAUAUGAGCAAUGAUGGAGAAGUUUCGGAUCUUGUCGGAAGGAAACUGUGUCAGAUCAACGGCGGGUUCUUUUUGCUUAGAAUCUGAGCUGAAGCCGUAAGCUUGUUGCGAUCCGACACGUAACGGAUCUCUUCGGUUGGGUUUGGCUGGAUUGAACAAGAGUGAGAAUGCUUGUCUCGAUGACUUUAGGGUUUUAGAGGCUCUGUACAUAGAACCCAUUUGGGGGUUUUGCGGAAGCAGUGAGAUUUGGGGAGUUUCAACUUUCAACACAAAGAUGUGUUUAGAGAACUCAUCGUCUAUACGACACCGUUUAGAGGCAUUGCAGAUUUACAAUAAACAGAUGUUAAUGUAACAAGUCAUAUUUUAUAAAGUCACACCCUUUGGAUCAUCACAAGUCAUAUUUACCAUCUUUUGAGUGGAUGAGGAUAUGCUCUCUGCUAGAACUCUAGUUAAAAAUGACUAAUCAAAAGAAUAUGUACAAGGAAAUCCAUUUCAAGCUUUGAUUGGUACAACUAAUGACAAAAUGAUAGUAGAAUACUAUAGAAGUUGUAUGCUCUAAAAAAUGUGUUAAAUAAAGUGACUGGUAUCGCAGUAAAUGAUUCAUAUAUAAAAAUAUUAUAUAAAAUUAGUAUAUGAUACAUAAUUUUUUUAUUUCUAAAUAAUAUAGAUAUAUUUAUAUUUAUAAUAUGUAUAUAUAUAUAUAUAUUAAUUUUAUUUAUUUACAGUACUUAAUCAUAUUUUCAUAUAUAUUUAAUUAUAUUUUAAAUGUAAAAUAUUAUUCUUAGAAAGUAAUAAUUUUAGUAUAUAUAUAUAAAUUUUAAUACAAGUACAAAUUUUUGAUAUUUAAAAUAAAAUAAAAUAACUUUAUCAAAAUUAUUUGAAAUUCUUAUAUAUUUUUAAUGCAAAUUCUCUACAAAAAGUUUCAUAUUAGAAGAUUAGAAAAAGAGCAUAAUCAACCCUACAAUAUGGACAAAUCCUUGGAUUCUUGCUCUUCACACGAGGUCAACAGUAUUAAAACAUUAAAUCAGUUUGAACCACCUACUAAAGAUUAAAAAUCUCAUUAAUCCAGUAAAUUUUUCUAGGAACAUAAAUUUUCUAAAUGCAUACAUACAUCAAGAAGAUGUGAAAGUUAUCAAAGUUUGGGUGAUAAGUCGCAUAUGUAAACCAAAUACUAAUAGGUGAAAUUUUACAGUGUCAAGUAAGUAUACAAUUAAAUCGAGAUAUAUGAUAGAUGUAUCUGAUAGGAGGACUAGAUUGGCUUUUUAUGGACCAAGUACAAAAACAUUAAUGGAUUUUGCGUAAAAACUAAAGUGCCCACCAAAAUUACAUCAUUUUGUUUGACAUAUCAUAUCGGGUAUUCUAUCGGUGACUAAAAGAUUGCAAUCAGGUAAUUAGGUUAUAUUUGAAUGUCCACCAACUUUCCAGGCAUGGGCGCUAUCACAAAUACUUUCAAAUCGAGGAACUUUUUCAACGUCAUGAGUUUUCACCAUUAUGGAUUAUUUGUUUCAAAGACUGUUGAAAGAGUAUGAGUUUGGAUAAUUUUCUUAGAUUAUGUGGUAUAUUUGGAAGAAUAUGAAUAAUAAGAUUUAUAAAUAAUAAAAACAAAAACAAAAACAAACAAGAUAUUUUAAGUAUAACGGAAAUUGAAAUAGCUUUGUUGCAAUUUGCAGUUUGAUAAAAAUUUGUCCGGAACAAAUCAGAAGAGUGUUGGUGACGGACCACAAUUCUGAUUUGUUCCAAACAAAUUUUUUAUCAGAUUUUGUAUCACCAUCUUCGUUAAUUUAGAACAAUAUGUGUGAAAAGUGAAAACAACUUCCGAAAACUAUAAGGUUUUCCUGCACUCUAUGCACCACGUGAAGCUUUUUCCGUUAUGAAUCUCAUAUGGACAAAUUUUGACGAUUUAAAUAAUUUUUCCAUAAUUUCUCAAUCAUGCAUAUACAAAGAGCCAAAAAAUAUAAUGAAGGAAAAAGCUUCACUUGGCGCAUAGAAUUUUCCUUAUGGUUUGCUAUAUGUUGAUUUUGUAGCUCAGAUAUUAUUGUCAAAAACAAUUUACAGUAUUGCUUUUUUUCUUCAUGAGUAAACGGUAUUAUCAAAAUUUAGAGCUCAGAUGACACAAUCAAAUCAAGAGUAGAUGCAUAAACUUAAUCAUCAUAAAGAAGAGUCUAAAACAUUUUCAACAAACCAUUUCAAUCAAUCACAAAGAAAGGACAAAGAGGAAUCAACAAAGCCAUUUAUUAAUAUAGGUUUUACACAAUGGCUUAUUGGUGAGGUGUUAACUUAAUGGAUUACUAUGCCCUGUGUUUGAGAACUUUCUUCUCAAGUUCAUCUUUCCUUGCUCCAACGAUCCUUUCAAUCUCUUUACCAUUUUUCACCAGCACAAAAGUUGGCAUCCCCGUCACAUUGAACUCUUUAGCCACAUCCUGAAAACAUUGAAAUUGUAGUAUGUUUUUAAACCUUUAUUCUCAUAACAAAAACACAAAUGAAUGUGGCGGAAUCCAUCUCAAACAACUCGACUGAUCUGCAGAUGUACCAUACCAAAAAUAUAUAUAUCUACCAGACACAAAAACAGUGAAUACUGGAGGCCAAUUCCAUUAAUGGUGGAUUCAAAUGUACAUAGACAGCAGAAAAUUGAAACCUUGGUCGUAUAUUACAGUAUAACAAUAACAAAAUGCAGUAAAGUUUCAAUCUUUAUCUCACUACAGAACCAAGAAAGUGCGGAUAAAGAAGCAGGUGGCUAAACCCAAUUCCACAAGAUCAUAUCUUAUAUCAUCAGAACUUGAUCCGAUCAGCAGUUAUACUAUAGAGCUAUAUCUACCUUCAUCUUCCCAACACUGGAUCAAAAUGAAAACUCCUUACCAGACACAUAAACUGUGAACGAUGGAGAUCUACCCCAGUAAUGAUGGAUACAAAUGUCGAGAGAAACCGAAAGUUGAAACCUUGGUCGUACAUUACGACAAAAUGCAGUAAAGUUUCAAACUUUUUUCUCAUUACAAAACCAAUAAAGUUCAGAUGGGUAAAAACCCAUUUCAUCAAACCCGUAUCAUAUAUCAUCAGAACUCGAUCCCAUCUACAGCUAUACUAUAAAGCUACCUACUUUGUCGAUGGAUCUAUUAAAGUUUAUUAAACUUACGGGAAGUUCAUCGACAUCCAAUUUGACGAAUUCAACAUCAGUGAACUUGGCAGACAUGGCGAUGAACGCAGGCUCGAUCAUCCUACAAGGUCCACACCAGGAUGCUGAGAAGUCAACCACCAGCUUCUCUCCCACAGUUCAAAAACCCAAUAUCAGUUAACUCGAUUUCACAUCUAACACGAAUCGGAUCUGAUCGGAUCGGUACGUACCAGUUUCGAGGAUUCUUUGAUCUCGUUGAAGUGAAGCUGCCACCGAGCCGAUGAGCUAAACUUCAUGACGCGACUUUCGGAUUCAUUCCCCGCGACUGCUUCAUCUCCACCACCACCUCCUAACACAGAUGAUAAUACACCUCCCAUUUUCUCUCUUCUCUCUUCUUUCUAAAAGAGUCUUUUAUGAACAAGUAAGCGGCGGAGAAUAUUAUUCCGCUUAAGAACCACGCUCUCUUCCCUGGUCAACGAUGGUAUGCCCACACACAUCCUGCCGUUUUAUGUUUUUACUUUUGAUUCCACACGGAUGCACAUCCUGACGUUUUUAUGCUAUCUCUAUUAUUCUCUAAGCCAGGGGUGGGCGUUCGGGUCCUUCCGAUUCGGGUCGGGUAUUUCGGAUUUUUGGGUAUUUCGGUAUAAAUGUGUAAAACCCGCUCGGGUAUUUAUUGUAUGAGCCAGCUAUUGUAUUCACUUUCACCAUCCAAAUUGAACAUUUAAUAAUCAAAUGCAUGUUGAUCCUGUUUAUCCAGAGCGGCGACUUAGAGGACAAGAUAAGCAAAGGUUAAUUUCAAGCACCAUAAUGUAUUCACUUCUUAAGCUUCCUUCGCAUUUCGAUUUGCAAACUUCUGGUCAUGCUAUCUUCACUCUUCUACGGUUUUAUUACAUGAUUUAUACUGAUUAACAAAAUUUCAUGGCCUCAGUCAACAUUCUUAAUCGGCUCCCGAAAACACCAAAUUUUAAACAUGAUAUAUUAAAAUAGCAAAUAUUACAUCCAUAAACUGACUUAUUAAAAUUAAACACCAGUAAAUAAAGUUGCAAUAUUAUACAGAUGCAUAUAUAUAACAUGCUACAUAUAAGGCAUAUAUCCGUCAUAUGCAACGGUUUAUUGUGCAGUUAAUAGAAUACUAAGUGGGAAAUAUUUAAUAGCUCCACAUACUCAUUUUUUUUUCAUUUCUUAUUAAGCUGACGCUGGUUCUUGAAGUGAUCUCUCGGGUUGGCUUCGAAAGGUGCCCUAGGAAUAAUCAAACCAUUCCCACCAGGAGCCUUCAUCAUCUUCUCUUUCGGGCCGUUCUCAUCUGAGCCUGAGGUCAUCCACGAGAAUAGACUAACGGCCGCUCCAAUGGCUCCAACCACGCCUAUGACUUUGGUCGCGGUAUCGUAAAAUGUCGAACUCUCAUCUUUGUCAUCUUUUCUCUCGGUGCUGUUCAUAUUGAUAUGGUCUCUAUAUGAGUGUUUUGAUUUGUUGAGUUUAAAGAGGGGACUCAGGAGUGAGUUAUAUAGAGUGGCAAGCUAGUGUACCUUGCCCCUCAGGAGUAAUGAAGACUUUAAUUACAUAGUAAAGGGAGGUUUAAACAUUUCUACUAUUAUUAUUUAAAAAAUGAAUGAAUUAUUUUACAUUAUUGUACUACUAGGUUAAAGCCACUUUCUUGCUAUCGGUCAGAGGAAUCUUUAGUACAAGAAAAGCUUUUUGUUUGUCUAAUGGUUAGAAUGAAGAUGCUUUCGUACGUGCAUCAUGUUUGGAUAAAUUUUUCAAUGGAUUGCAAAUUUGAAUUAUUACUAAAGUGACAACAACUUUGAAUCAUUGAAUGCAAAUUUCAGUCGCUAAAAUUAAAACCACAAAUGGAUUUAAUAAUUUCAGUGUACCUUCCCCCUCCGGAGUAAUAAAGACUUCAGUUAAUUACAUACUAAAGUCUCUAUAUUUAUCUUUUGAUCAGAAAAAGUCUCUGUAUUUAGCUAAAGGGAGGUUUAAACAUUUC